UGAAUUAUGAUUUUCCCCCUCUUUUAGUGCUUUCUUUUAUUUCUUUCUCUGAAGAUACACUAAUUAACACUGAAAAUCCACAAAAACACUACUAUGGUAGAUGUGCAAGUAUGCACGUAUAUUAGUUUCAUGUUGAUUACUUGUAAUAUGAAUGAAGUGAAUUACAUACCCUGUAGAGGACAACAUAUUGGGCACUGAGUCCGAAUUGGCGGAGGGCUGGGAGGGUGAGACUGUUGAGGGUGCUAAUGCGACCAGCUUUUGGGUUGUAGAAGUCAGCACGUGAAGGGCGAGCAAUGUUCUCGUGAAGCUUCAUGGUGCAAAUAUUUUCCUCAACCCCAUUUCUAGUCUGACAUCCUCUUCCACGUGGUUCUUGUUGUUCGGGCCUGCUUGGUCGCUGUGGAGGGUGAUCAGGACGAGGUUGAUCUUCUUCUUCGUCCUCGUCCUCGUCAUCUUCAUGCUUUCCAUGGCUUGGUCGUCGUGGAGGAUAAGAGGGAGUUUGUUCAUAUUCUUCGUCUUCAUCUUCGUCUUCGUCUUCUUGUUCUUGCCACUUGGGGCUGAUAACGCUGAGGCCUCCCUCCACUGUCACGAUCUGCUUCCUUUCGUCAUCUGGAGACCGAAGUUUCUCAGCUGUGUCCUCGUUGGUGUUGAAGGAUUGUGCUAAGAAAUGUUUGCUGAAGCCACUGAGCACACUGCCACCUUCUUCCUCCUGCUGCUGGUGUUGCCCCUGCUUGCGUCCACCAUGACUCUUCUGCUGCUGCUGUUGUUGCAUGGUCUCUGGGUGCUCUAUAUCUGGGUUCCCAGCAAGGUAAAAUACCUUGAAAGUAAUUAAAAAAAUUAACAUGUGAGGAGAACAUGUUUUUUUUAAUAAUAAAAUAAUAGUUAAUAGUAAAUGAAGUUCAAUUGAUAUCCAAUCAUGAUACAAGUAUAUAUCCAACUAUUUUAAACACUCCAUUAAUAUAACUUAUUUCUCUUUUCUUAUCACAUUAUAAAUUCUAUCCUAUUUAUAUGUAUUUUUUUCUUUUUCAUUUCUCCCUCUAGAUAUAAGAUAGUGUUCUUCAAACAUUUUUCAUAAAUAAUAAAACAUAACAUCCAAAUGAUGUGAUAUAAAGUAUAUUAAUUAUUUUAUUACUUAGUAUAUUUAAUAAAAGAAAAUAAUAAUAAAAAAUAUUUUGUUAGGUGUCUUUUUAAGUGUGUAUGAUACUAUGCAGUGACAUGUGUAUCACUGCUCAUUAUAAUUACGUACUCUGGGGUUUUGAUCAAGCUGAUUGUUGAAGUUGGAGGUGUCAAGAAGACUGAUGGCAACAACUGGUUCAUCGCCAGUGUUAUAGGUCCAGUAAGGAACACCAGGAGGAAUCACUAGUACGUCUCCUUCAUUGAAGUGACGAAUCUUCUGGUGACUGUCUUGUAGUUGCUGCUGCGACCUUGAGCCUCUUCUGCUUGAUUGCUGUUGUGGCUUCUCAAACGUCUCAGGACAUCCCGGAAAUGCAAAUCCAAUUGCUCCCUUCCCUGUGCAUCAAUCAUCAUCAAGCAAAACAAUCACAUUAAUUAUCAACUAAUUAACACUCUUUAGUCAUCAUAAUUGUUAAGAGUUCAUUCAUAUAACUUGUAAGAUAGUUAGUCAUCAAAUUGUGAUUAGACAUAUAGAUAUAUAGUAUUAUUAUUAUUAUUAUUAUUAUUAGUUUUAUUAGAUGAUACUAUGCCAUAAUGUGGUGUUUAAAACCUAGUUGAGAAAAACAAAUUCUACUAAAAAUGAUUAAUCAAAUUUUCUAGCAGAGAUUAAUUAUAAAAAAUUUAAUAAAUAUUUCAUAUUACUAUUAUUGUUAUCACGUUAAGCUGAUAAAUACUUCUUACUAAUAUUACGCACCUUGAACGACAAUGAUCAUUUGGGGAUAAGGUGAGUAAGAUGGCAAGUGGAGGCCGUUGCGGUUGAGGGUGCGUUUGGAAACAGUGACACCGGCGCAUUGCAGCUCAGGGUGUUGAGAGUUCCAUGUUUCAAUAAGACCACCUUCGGACUCAACGCGGUGGUCGGGUUCCAACGCGUUGAGGUUGUUGAGUUGGCACUCGUUGAACUUGCUGGAGGUAAUAGCAAAGCAUGCACUCGACAAGAGUAGCAAGCAAAGGGAAGAAAGAGAGAGAGUGAAGAAGGGCUUCCCCAUAUUGAACUAAGGAAAGUGUUAAUAAGUUUGAAGGAGUUGGUGAAGUGGAGAACACGAAGAGUGGCGAUUUAUAGUGAAGAGAGGAGAGUGAGUGAGGGACACGUCAAUGAAGAAGGGUUUCUGAGUUGGUGACAUUCUUCACCUUGCAUGGCUAUUGUUUCCAAUUUUGUUACACCUCAUACAUAAGCUAUGCUUCGUUUAUAUCUGCAACCGUACAUGAACAACACCAAAAUUGCAGGCACCCUGAAUGGUCCCCCUCUACAGAUUCUCCGCGUCUCAAAUUCUAUCCUCCUUAUACAAUAAGAUCAGCAUUCUAUUCAGUGCAUCAUAUUUUUUUUAUACAAUUAAUUUCCUUUAUAAAUGAGAUAAGGAUAUGAAAAAAAUGUGAAAUAAAAUAAAUAAUAUUACUGUAAAAGAUAAAAAAAAAGGUUUUAUAAACUGUUAAAUAAUUUUUUUAUAACCAUACUAUAUCAUCUUUUAUAUAAUGCGUUAAAUAUUAAAAAAGAAAAUGACAUCCACAAUAAUCUUAUCUAACUCCUGCAGCAUAAUUGUCUCUGUAAAAGAUAUAUAUCAAAUACUAUGAUGUUUAAAAUCUUUCUCAAUUUGAACUGUUUUACUGUAUAUGCAGUUCGUCACCAUAUAUAAGGUUGGCAUGGAAAAGGAGAAAGAGAGAAAUUGCUGCUUCGAAUCCAUUCUAUUCACAUUUAUAAUAAAAACUAAUAAAUUAACAUUUAUUUAUAAAAAAAAAUUAAUGAUAAAUUUUUCAAAAUUAUAUAUAAAUUAUUUUCACACUAAUUUUUUUUAAAUGUCACUUAGAUUUAAUCAUAAAUCGAAUUUUGAGUAUAUAAUUAUAUUAAACACUUUAAAAAAAAAGGUUUUAUUUCCCAUAAUAAUUCUCCUUGACUUAAAUAAGAUUACCUCCUUUUAUGAAAGGAUACCAAUGCUUUUAAACUUAAAAAUAAAACACUUAAUAAUGUGUCAAAAAAUCAAACACUAUUUUUAUGCCUAAUUGAUUACAUGACGAGCGUGCAUGUUAUAUUAGAUAGACACGCGUUUUACUAGAUUAAAUAUUUUUUAGUUCUUCAAAAUUUAGUAAAAUUCGUUUUUGGAUCCUCAGGUUUAAAGUUAAACGUUUUCAUUUAUAAUUUGAGAAAUAGACUUGUUUUCAUCCUUCAUACUAGUGACCAUAGGUGAAAUGCUAAUGUGGUCAAUGGAUUCAAGUCAUAAUUCGAUCACCACGUCAUUUCCGGUUCAUGUGACCUAAUGGUGUCACAUUAAAGGAACGAAAACUGAAUUUUGCAUUUAAGAGGGAAUUAAACAUUUAGAUUGAAUUAUUAAAAAGAUUAAAAUCGAACUUUAUACGAGAGUCCAAAAGUAUUUUAUUAUGCUUAUAUGUUAAAAUUCAAUAGAAUAAAUAAGUACUCUCCUAUAUGAAGAACCAUAUACUAAUUCCGUUGAUUGAGUAUUAGCUAUGUACUAACAGAAAUAAUUUCCGUUUUUCCCCUUUCUCUUUCUCGUUCUUGGAAAAGUGUGUGCAUGAUUUUUUUUUUAUGAAUUCAUACUCCAACAAAUGGUAUCCAGAGCAGGUUGUUGAAGGGUGGUCAUCGAUCGAAAGUGAGGUGAGUGAAACCUAAACACGAGAGACGGUAAGCGAGUGAAAACACGAGAGACGGUGAGGAACCUUAUCAAUGGCAACAACGAACGAAAACUUUCCGGCGAACUUUCCGGUUCUUGAUGGGAGAAAUUACGAUCAGUGGAGUAUGAAGAUGAAGGCGAUCCUCGAUUAUCAAGAUGUGUGGGAUCUGGUGGUGAACGGACUUGAUCCGCUGCCGGUGAAUCCAACCACUGCGUAACAAGCGAUAUAUAGAGAUGCGAAGAAGAAGGAUUGCAAAGGUUUGUGCAUUCUGCAUCAGUGUGUGAAUCAAGCAAUUUUUGAGAAAUUUGCGAGAUCGGAGACGAGCAAAGCGGCGUGGGAUGUUCUCGCGAGCUCCUACGCCGGUGAUCAGAAAUUGAAGAAAGUACGACUUCAAACUCUAAGGUGACAGUAUGAAUUGCUAGGCAUGGAAGAGAGUGAGACAAUUGCUACCUAUUUCACUCGUGUUCAAACCAUGACAAAUCAAACGCCGGUGAUCGGUGCAUUCGCGAUUUGAUCAUGUCACGGUAGCGAUUGAAGAAUCGAAGGAUCUAUCAACGCUAAAAUGGAGGAGCUCAAGNNNNNNNNNNNNNNNNNNNNNNNNNNNNNNNNNNNNNNNNNNNNNNNNNNNNNNNNNNNNNNNNNNNNNNNNNNNNNNNNNNNNNNNNNNNNNNNNNNNNAACUCUGGUAGAGGAAACUCUAGUAAUAAUUACAAUAGUGAACAAAAGAACAAUAGCAGUGAAAAUUAUAGAAGAAGAGGUGGAAGAGGUGGUAGAGGAAGAGGUGGAAGAGGAGGAAGAAAAAUUGAUAAGAGUCACAUUCAAUGUUAUAAUUGUGAGAAAUACGGUCAUUUUGCCGAUGAAUGCUAUAGUAAUCCAAGCCACCCUGAGGCAAGAUUGGCUUAAGAAGAAGAUGAGAAGGAGGAAAUUCUGUUAAUGGCAGUAGAGGAGGAAAUUGGUGAUGAUGGAGUGGAAGAAGUGAGAAAGGAGAAAGUAGAUAUAGAAGAAGUGUUAUAUAUGGUGACUGUGAAGGAUGAGAGUGAUCAUGGUGAUAACUGGUUCCUUGACACUGGGUGUUCAACACACAUGUCAUGAAAGAAGGAAUGGUUUGUUGAGAUAGAUUUCACUGUCAAAAGCAGGGUGAGGUUUGCUGAUGACAGGACUAUGAAGGUUGAAGGUGUAGGAAAGGUGAUGAUCAGGAAGAGAGAUGGAUCUAAAUGCUUUAUUUCUGGAGUGUUGUAUGUUCCAGGAAUGAAGAGCAAUCUUCUGAGCAUUGGACAGCUACUGGAGAAAGGGUACAAGAUGGUGUUGGAGGAUUGUGCCAUGAAGGUGUAUGACAAUGAGAGGAGAUUGUUGAUUAAAGCAAAUUUGUCAAAGAAUAGAACAUUUAAAGCUGAGCUAGAUGUUCUAGUGCAACAAUGUUUAGCAUCAACAAUUGACAAGGAAGAAUGGCUAUGGCAUUUUCGUUAUGGUCACUUAAACUUCAUUGAUCUGAAUAGGUUACAGAGUAAGGGAAUAGUGAAAGGAAUUUCUCAUAUCAAGGUGCCAAAUGAUGUAUGUGGAGAAUGUAUAAAAAGCAAGAUGUCCAGAAACUCAUUCAAUCAAAAUGUAUCCACAAGAUCCAAGAGGAAGUUGCAAGUUGUUUUUUCUGAUGUAUGUGGACCAAUUCAACAUAUGACUCCUGGAGGUAACAAAUAAUUUGUUACAUUUAUAGAUGAGUUUAGUAGAAAACUUUGGAUUUACUUGAUUAAGAGGAAGAGUGAUGUGAUUGAAGUAUUCAAGAAAUUCAAAGUUUCAGUGGAGAAACAGUGUGGAAAGAAUUUAGAGAUAUUAAGAACGGAUGGUGGGGGUGAAUAUGUAUAUGCUGAGUUUGCUGAAUUUUGUGAGAAAGAAGGCAUCACACAUGAAGUAACACCUCCAUACACUCCUCAACAUAAUGGAGUAGCUGAAAGGAAGAAUAGAACUUUGUUGAACAUGGUGAGGAGCAUGUUAAAGAGCAAGAAACUACCAAAAUAUUUGUGGGGAGAAGCUGUGAACACUGCUGCAUACAUCUUGAACAGAAGCCCAACUAGGAAAUUGGAAAAUAUAACACCUGAGGAAGCUUGGACAGGAGUGAAACCAAGUGUGUCUCACCUCAGUGUUUGGAUUUAUUUGUUAUAGACAUAUACCUGACCAACUGAGAACUAAACUUGAUGAUAAAGGAGAAAUGAUGAUAUUGAUUGGAUAUCACUCAACUGGAGGUUAUAAAUUGUUGAAUCCAGUAAACAACAAGAUAGUGAUAAGCAGGGAUGUAGUAGUGGAUGAAAGCAAGGAUUGGGAGUGGAAUGUCACACCAGAGAUAGAAAAAUAGAAUCAAGUUGAAUUGCAACUUGAAGACAGUGACACUGUGACUGUGCAAGAAAAUGAAACUGGAGAAGGCAGUGCUGAGGGGCCAAGAAGAUCUUUGAGACAGAGACAAGUCCCUCAAAGAUUAAAUGAUUUUGAAUUGUUGAAUGAUGGUGCAAUUAAUGAUGAAGGUGAGCCACUCACAGUGGAAAAGAAGCAGUGCAGAAUAAGAAAUGGAUUAAAGCUAUGAAUGAAGAGCUUAAUUCCAUAGAAAAGAAUAAUACUUGGGAGUUAGUGGAACUACCAAAGAAUAAGAAAGCCAUUGGAGUGAAGUGGGUGUAUAAGGUGAAAGUAAAUCCCAAAGGAGAAGUGGUGAGGUAUAAGGCUAGAUUAGUAGCAAGGGGAUUUCUCCAAAGGCAAGGCAUUGACUAUGAAGAAGUAUUUGCACCUGUGGCUAGAUUAGAGACAGUGAGAGUGGUGGUGGCACAUGCAAGUUUGAGAGGGUGGAAACUACAUCAACUUGAUGUAAAAUCAGCAUUUUUGAAUGGUGAUUUACAAGAGGAAGUGUACAUUGAUCAACCACCUGGGUUUGUAGUGAAAGGCAGUGAGAGAAAGGUGUUCAAAUUGAGGAAGGCUCUAUAUGGGUUGAAACAGGCACCAUGUGCUUGGAACAUGAAAAUAGAUAAGAGCUUGACCAAUUUGGGUUUUGUGAAAUGUAGGUCUGAGCAUGGAGUGUAUGUGAAGUCAGGGGGUGAAGACAUUAUGAUGCUAUGCCUUUAUGUUGAUGAUCUGUUAUUGAUAGGAAACAAUGAAGCAAAAGUGAAUGAAUUUAAGAAAAAUCUGAUGGAUGAGUUUGACAUGACUGACCUGGGUGAGUUGUCAUAUUUCCUUGGAAUUGAAUUCAAGAAGUGUAGUGAAGGAAUUGUUCUCACACAGCAAAAAUAUGCUACUGAUAUUCUGCAUAGAUUCAAUAUGCAACACUGUAACAGUGCUGAAACACCUGCAGAAGCUGGAUUGUGGCUCGAUAGAGAUAAUGAAGAGGACUUAGUAGAUCCUACUGAGUUUAGAAGGAUUGUUGGGGCAUUGAGAUAUCUCUGCAACACCAGACCUGAUCUGGUUUUCAGUGUUGGUCUGAUUAGCAGAGUUAUGGACAGGCCUAGAGUAUCACAUCUCAAUGCAGCAAAACGAAUAUUGAGAUAUGUGAAAGGAACAAUUGGUUAUGGAAUUUCGAUGCCCAUUAACCAUAGUGAAAAUACAAGAAAUCUAUAUGGCUAUACAGAUGUUGAUUGGUGUGGAGACAAAAGUGAUAGGAAGAGCACUGCUGGGUUUGUUUUUCUAAUUGAUUCAGCACCAAUUUCUUGGAGCUCGAAGAAGUAAUCUGUGGUUGCACUUUCAUCGUGCGAAGCUGAAUACAUUGUUGCUGCAAUGGGAGCUUGUCAAGUAGUGUGGCUUGAUACUUUGAUGCAGGAACUGAAGAUCAAAGAAGAAGGUCCAGUUGAGCUAUAUGUAGAUAACAAAUCUACAAUCAAGUUAGCCAAACAUCCAAUUGCACAUGGAAGAUCAAAGCACAUUGAAACCAAAUUUCAUUUCAUAAGAGACCAAGUUGCGAAGGGGAAAUUCAAGUUGAAGUUCUGCAGAUCAGAAGAUCAGCUUGCAGAUAUAUUUACCAAGUCCUUGAAAUCUGAAACCUUCAAGAAACAGAGAAGCACGCUGAAUAUUGUUGAUAGCAGGAAACUAGCUUAAGGGGGCGUGUUAAAAUUCAAUAGAAUAAAUAAGCUAGUUAUUGAUUGAUAUAGAUAUUGCCACGUGUAAUAAGUACUCUCCUAUAUGCUGAACCAUAUACUAAUUCUGUUGAUUGAGUAUUAGUUAUGUGCUAACAGAAAUAAUUUUCGUUGUAAUUGUUUUUCCCUUUCUCUCUCGUUCUUGAAAAAGUGCGUGCGUGAUUUUUUUUGAUGAAUUCAUACUCCAACAUUAUAUAAAUUAAUAACUUAGGUAGAAUAAAGAAAGAAAGAAAAAACUCAUGAAGUUGUAAUUUAAAACAAUUGAAGUCGUGUUUGAGUAUACCACUUUUACAGAAGAAGAAAAAUCAUAUUUGGAUUGAAGUGGUGUUUAAUCAUGCGAUUUUUGUAUACAUUUUCUUACAUGAAUCUUGAAAUUAAGAAGUUCACAACCCUUGAGAUAAGUUUUGGCUUUAUAUCUCUUUCGCUUCCUUUCUCAUUAUAAAUUAUUCUCGCCAAUUUCAACCUUGUUGGAAGCACUAUGCAGACAUUUAUUCGCAGAAGCCUCUGCUAAUGGCUCACAGGUUGGUUCAAACCAGAGUCAUGUUUCGCAAGUGGUUCGGUCUCUGCUAUCUUCAUUCACUAUUCAAGUUUUGCUAGCAUUCAUCGGAGCAAGCAUGUGGUGCCAACGAAUCAUCGUGAACGUCAUUUCCGUUGCUGAUUUCCUAACAGUUGUCUCUGGAAAUAGAACAUGAACUACACCACAAUAAUAUUAGAAAAACGUCAUUGUUCCAGUCUUCAGCAAAAUGCAUAAGGGAAGAAGCACGAUUAGGGUUCCAGUCUAUGCUUCCCAUGGAUCAUGCCGCCGCCGCAUGAAGAUUAUUAGGAAAACAAACUUCUCUUUAAUAUUCUGUAAUGGUAUAUAUAUAAUUCAGAAGAAGCCAACAGCUAGUCAAACCAUUUAAAUUAGAUAAAUGAUGGUGAUUAUCUCCUGGUUGAAAUUUAUUGUUAAUUGUUAGUUUUGGUCAAUCAAGAAAAAAAUCAUUAAAUAAUAAAUAAAUCCUAUCAAAAUCCAUAAUUUUUGAUAAAUUUUUAUUAAAUAAUAGAGAUAGUAUUAAAAAGAAAAUAUCAGAGAAAAAAUAUUUGUAAUAUUUCUUUUUAAAUUAAAUAACAAAGUCAUGUUUUCAUGGAAGACAACUUCAACCAUUUAAAUUUAAAAACAAAUCAUAUAUUUAAACUCGAUUUUAAUUAUUAAAAAAAUAAAACAAAAAUUAUAUUUUAAAAUACUACUUCUUUGUUGGAAGUAUUUUUUAAAAAACGACUUAUCUAUCUCUAGUAAAAAAAUUGAAAUUCCACCCAUUUUGAUAAUUUUUUAAAUAAUUAUCCCCAUCACGUAAAAAAAGUCUAGAUUUAUAAAUGUAACACAUAAAAAAAAUACCAAAUAAUGAUUUUUUUAAUGUUACAUUAUAAUUUGGAUAAAAAAACUAAAAUGAGAGAAAAUUUUCAAUAUAUUUCAAAAAAAAUAAUAUAGAAAAAAUUAUUACACAAUUGUAUAUAUAGACUUUUUUAUAUAAUUUUUUGGACUACUUUCUAACUUUAGAACAUGUGUCACACUUCUAAAAUGGGGAAAGAAAAAAAUGAAAUUCUCCGGUUUCAAUUUUGAUCAAAGCUCUAUCAGGAAAAAAAAAUGAAAUUCUCCGAUUUCAAUUUUGAUCAAAGCUCUAUCAGCCACUAGCUAGGUUCUUCUAGUUUGUUUGGAUAAUUUUUUUCUAUAAACAUUCAAACAUGAAAAACAAAUGUAAAAUGUGUUAAGUUUCUUCGUCAACAAAAUUCAACUUAAGAAUCUUAGCUUUAAUUAGAAGAAGUUAAAUAAAGAGAGUAUAUUAUAUAUAUAUAUAUAUAUAUAUAUAUAUAUAUAUAUAUAUAUAUAAAGUUUUUUAUCCAUAAGAAUCGAAAAUAGGAUUAAAAAAAUUUCAAUAACUCGCAUGAUACUCAAUCAACUUAGUUAAACAAAUUAAGUGCAUAAAAUUAUUUUAGCUUAUCAGAGAAAGUUGAUUUAUUUUACUUUUUUAUUUUAUUUUAUCAUAAAUAUUGAUCGAGAAGUUUAUCCAAAGAUCACCUUAGUCUACUUUAAGAAGUUCAAUGUGGAUAUUCGCAGCACACUUAUAAACAAGGACAGACGGUAAUUAAUCUCCUAAGUUACUCUUAUGAAAAGAAAAGUAUAAAGUAUUUAAUUAUUAUAUCAAAAUUAUGACAUAAGUAGUUAUAUCUAUCUUUUACAUAAUUGAAAACAUUUAAUAAAAGAACCAAAAACAAUAAUUAGUGUCGCUAGCCAAAUCCAUAAACAAGAUAACAAUUGGGUUUUAAUUGAUUGGGUCUCAAAUCAAAUAAUGGAUUUGUCUUUUCCAUGUUAAAAACUAAUCAGUUGGAAUUCGGAAAGAGGAAAAUAUUCUUUAUGAUCAUAAAUCAUUUAGCUAAUGGUUUUUCAUAAAUCAUUUUACUUUCAUAAUUUAUUAUGAUCAUAUUAUUCUUUUUAAGUGACCCUUGAAAAUAAAGAGUAUAUAUAUAUAUAUGAUCAAUUUUGUUACAAAAUUGCAUGGCCAUCGUUUCCAAUUUUGUUACACCUCACAUAAGCUUUUGUAUUUGUUGGCAUGCUUGUCAUGACCAAAGAAGCAAUUUUUUUGUAUGCUUCGUGUUUAUAACUGAGCAGUUGAAUGAACAAUACCAAAAUUGGAGGCUCUCUUUAGAUUCUCCGCGUCUCAAAAUCUAUCCUCUUCACAAAUAAGAUCAACAUCUCGUUUUUUUUUCCUGACAAGAAACCACCAAUGUUUUUCAACGCACAUACUAUAUAUGAUACUAAUUUCAUCUGCAUUAAGUGACUCUCGUUUAGCCCAAAAAAAUUUAUACAAGAAAGAAAUUAAACAAGUUCAUCCACUAACUCUAGUUAGCUCUCCAUAUAUGAAUGCAACAUACAGAAUCUUUUACUUGUGUCAAUCCUAUGAGUUAAUGAGAUCAACAUUCGAUUCAUAUACAUUAUUUUUAUAUAAUUUCUUUAGUAAAUGAGAUAAAUGGAUAUAAGAAAAAAUGUGAAAUAAAAUGAAUAACAUUGGGUCACACGUAUACAGUAUAAUCACACUUCAGUGUGCAUAUAUAUACGUUGCUAUCAUAUCAUAUUAAACUUACACGUGCCUCGCUUAUAUUAUUCGGAUUGUGAAUUUGGGCUACCAUGUCCAGAAAAUAUAUAGAGGCGUCGAUUUUAUACGUUUAUAUACGAUUGACCCGUAGAUCUAGCUAUCUUGUAAUGUUUGGAUUUCAGGAUUAUAAAAGCAUGCGCAGUAUAGUGAGCAGUGAGAGAAAGAAAAGCAAGAAUAAAUCUUUAAAGAGUGGGACCAUGCAUGUCUGAACUAUUUUAUUAGAGGAAUUAUUGUUACUAAACAUGUUUUAAUUUUAUUUGUUGAUACGAUUCCAGUAAGGAAUUAUGUAAAUUAUUACAUCUAGUAGAGGCUAAUUUUUUUAUUAACGUGUUAUUAGUAAGAAGCAUUUAUUAAUUUUUAUUAAAGAAUUUGACCGAUCUUAAGUUUUUCCUCCCAUAAUCUUUUAUGUUAAUGUUGUUUUUUAAUGAAUGAUUCAGAAGCAAAAGCAAGGAAGGUUACUGAGUGGUUGUCAUUAAUUUGUCUAGGAUUUCUAGGCGGAACAUGAAGCCUACAAAUAUGUUGUUAUGUGGCAUGUGAAAUCUCAAUAAAUCGCAAGAUGCAUGGAUUUUGUGCGUUGCAAUUUCAAUUUUCAUUUUGGCGUUAUUCUAUGAGAAUGAAUUUAAUUUGUAUUGUAUCUGGAGUAUCUGCUUGGGUUGUGAAUUUGAUUCUUUAAUGUCUGAUUGCCUCGCAAAUCGCAAUCAUGUGCCUUGGGUCUCGAGGUGUGCUUGUGGAUGGCGAAUUUUUCAUGCAAAAAAUACAAAAUUAUUCAAAUAAUACAAUUAAAAAAUAUUUACAUAUGAUGCAAUUCACUAUUCAAGGUGAGAAAGUUAUUUUUUUAUUUAACACAUAUUUAAUUACUAAAUUUACAAACAUAUUUUUAAUUAAUUUAGCGUCGGUUAAGCUGAAAAAAUACUUAUAUUAGAUUAUAAAAAAAUAAAAAUCUGCUUAUUUUAUUAAAAAAAAUAUUUUUAAAAACAUAAGUAUUUUUUUAUUCAAAUGUAUUUUGUGUUAUUUCAAUUUUUAUUGAGAUUAUAAAAUAUAAGUACAAAAAUGAAAAAUAUAUUAUAAUUAUAAAGUUUACAACAAAAUAUAAUUAUAUAUUAAAAAGUUAAACAAUAAUUGAAACAAUUAUAGUAACAUUUGUAAUUUUUCUAUAUUUUGCAUAGGAAUAGUCGACAUUAAAUUGAAUACAAAUGUGGUUAAAUAACGAUUGUAUCAAUUAUGCAAAUAAUUUUUGGGUUUUAUUAUUUGAAUAAUUUUUUACUUUUUUUAUUAUUGGGGUGAAAAUUUCUAUGGAUAGCUCGGAUAUGUCAUAGUGUUACCACAAAAUGUUAUUAUUGAGCAUUUUACUAUAUAAGACUAAACUUGGCACAAGAUGUGUUAAAAGUUUAGUAUAAAGAUUACGAAGUCUCAAGUUAGAUAUGGAACUAAACUUGGAGCAGUUAUAAUGCGGCGCUUUUGUUUUCCUUUUGAAUCUUUUGGCUUCUUUCACAAUUUCAGCAGAAUUCUUAAUAUUCAAAUUUCUGAAUUUACUUGUGAUUUAUGAUGCAUCCUGGUAAAGGAGUUUUAAAACUGGUGUAGGCUCAAGGUGUGUUUUGUUUAGGAAAUUAGUUCCAGAAAAUUUUGGUUGAGUUUGUCGCCGACCAAUGUUUUAAUUAACUUCCAUAAGCAGAUUCAAAUUGCUUUCAGUGACCAGCAACCAGAAUUAGACAUGAUUUAUUAAUCAUUUGUUUUUAUUCAGAAAACUUAAUGCACCAUGGUGCAUUUUCCAUUUUGUUGAUGCAACCAAUUGUCCAUAUUUUGACCACGUUCCUAUCUAUCACUAGAUAAACAAGCUGUCCCCCAAAAAUUAUCUCCAACUAAUAAUAUUACACGAUCAUCCAAUUCUAUUCCAUUAAAUUCAUGUGCUUUGAGUUCCAAGUGUUAAAAAAACCAUUAGAAACAUAUAGAUAUGCAAAGAAUCAACAAUUCUAGCAGCCGAGAACUAAAACCUUUGAAUCUUUAGCAGUGAGUAAAACGGGUCUAUUCUGCCAAGCAAUUUCAUGUUGGUAACUGAGUGAGGAAUGUACAAUAUCUUCAAAUCAAAUUGCUACUGUAACAAGAAGAACAUGGGAACAGUGGUUCUAGCUGUAGAUCUAUAGAACAUUUUCUUCUUCUUGUAGGUUCUAUUUUCAACUGUUAUCACUAUCUUCCCAGGUUCACUGAUGUAAAAGGAGUUUCUAGUGCUGCUACCAUCUACACUUUGGUUUUGCAGUAGUACAGUGUAUGAGCCUUCAUCAUCUGGAAUGAACUCUUCCUUGUAGGACACAUCCCAUCCCACCACAGUUACAUCCCACAUUAUUGUCACUCCAAGCUAGACACAUUCCAAAAUCAAAUUACAACAAAUAAGCAAAUUAGUCUUACAUGGUAAAUAAUAAUAAUAAUAAUAAUACUUUUAGGUACAUGUGCAUAAGUGCAUUCAAUUUUGAACCAAAAAAAGAUUCAUGUUGUAUAUACCUGUUGGAUCGGAAAUUCAACUUUAGAAACCGUACUUCCUUUGAUUUUAAGCUCUGAAACCUUAUCAGAAGGCGAGAAGUCUUCAUCAUUGUUCCUCCUUAGACCACCAUAUUCAGUUGGAAGGUGCUCUGGGGCUAUAAACCUUCACAAAUGACAAAUGUUAAUUAACUGUGGUUGAAUAAGAUUGAGAGAAUGGAACACUAAGGUUCAUGUUAAGCACACUUACUUGAGAAGUGUCUGUGUGACCUUCUGUGACCUAGCUAAGAUGAACUUCUUUUUAUUUCUCUGGUUCAUGAACCCUGAUAAUAGCACUUGAGAAGUGUAGAACCAAAAUGGAGCAUAUACUAUAAUCUGCAAAUUAAAUCAAAAAAUGGGGGGAAAGAAAAAUCAAUCAGCAUUCUGCAGUUUCAAUUUAGAUUAAAGCCUAAUAGCCACUAAUACCACUAUGCUCUAUUAUACUUUUAUAAACUAACAUUUUUGUGAAUGAUCUCAGGGUAGUAGUUCUGAAACAAUAUUAGAGCCUUUUUGCUGACUGAGUUGAGCUCCUUGGUUCCUUGCAUUGGAGUGUUCCUCAAAUCAAAAACCUGAAGUAUGGAUUCCACCCCUCCUUCUCUAAAACAAAGCUUCUUCACAGCCUUUUCAAUCAUUUGAAUCCUCCACCUCAAAUACUUGUCACAUGUGUUAUCUGAUCCAAAUGUCUUCUUGUAAACACGCCUGUCUUUGAAAAUCUCACAAGCAUGGUAACACACAGGACGACCUUCCCUAUCCUUACCGCACAAGAAUCCUGCAUUAUUUCCGAACUCAGAACCCAAAUCCUCAUCGGUGAUCCCAUCAACGUUGUUCUCGCGGCGCCACACAAGUGUCUUUUGCAGCAUGUCAAAGGCCUCAUUCACCUUGAAAUCCUUGGCCUUCAAGAAUUUCCUCAAAACAACAUCAGUGCCCUCAUGAGCCUUGCUUAGCAACAAAGGGACACCCCAGAGAGUAAUCUCUCUAAUCUGUUCCCUUGCCACUGCUAUUUCUUGUGGUGCAAGUUUCUCAUGAUCUUGUUCUCCUAACAAAUAGUUCCCAAGAAUGGCAUCCUCAACCUUGCAACGAAACUCGAGCAAUGACUUCUUCAUCUUGAGUUUAAUCUCAGCAGGACUAGGCGCCCCCGCGUCUCCCAAAGCUGUGGCAUCAAGAUCAUCGUCAUCAUCUUCUUGAUCACAAUCAUGAUCUUCUUGGUUCUUCUUCUCUUGGACCUUGAGACUCUUCUCAUCAUUGUUGUUGUUCUUAUCAAAGAAAUUGAUAACCAGGGGUACCCCAACAACGAUUUCCCCAUAUUCAUCAUUGCAACAACAUUCAUUGGCGUCGUUCAUGGUUGCCACUCAAAUGUUGUAAUUAAUUCUUCUCCUGCAUGCACCGAUCCUCCUCCUCCUCCUCCUCCUAGAUUAGAGAGCUCCACAAUCGUGAUUUGGACUACUAUAUCAAGAUUUUUUAACUAUCAGCAACUCAACGCGACUGCAAUUGGAACCACAUGAGCUGCAUUUGUCCGCGAUUUGCCACGAUGCCAACAAUCGCGAUGAAACCACGGUGACCGAUAUUUAAAACCUUAGAGCAUUUGAUGGAGGGAGGGGGUGGAGAAGGAAAGAAGAGAAGAAAGGUGGCAUUUACAUUACAUUAUUACAUGCAUAGAUGCAUGCAUGCAUGAGAAGGCCUUGUUAAUUUGUGACAACCCAAUAAUGUUGAGUGAUGAUGGAUCACUUCCCUCAAAUUGAGAAUGCUCAACCGUUAGUUUAGGUGAGUAGCGCCAAAUAUAGAUCACAAGUAAUGGCUUGGUUUCUUAUUCGUUGGCAAAUAAUGUUUUUGAAUGAUUUAAACCAAGUUGGCAUGGCAAGAGGACAACGCUCUUUUUCAUGCAACAAAAUCAAUUCACACGGGCCAACCUCGUCGUAAUCACAACAAACUUGUAACAUCCUGUUUUUUUCAUAAAAUAAAUAAAAAAGUGUGAGGUCGAGUGUAUUGUAUAAUUCAUUAGCAAUAUUUGCAUGCAAAAAUUAUUUUAAGGGUUAGACCUGAAUUAGGAAAGUGAGAUCCUAAUGGAUUCUUCGAAGUUUAGGCCUUCUGGGUAAAUAUACUCUAUUUGAGUGUUCUUUUAAAUCUAUGUUGAUCUAUAUAGUUAGAGUAUUUUCAUAAAACAGAAUGACCUUGGCUAGUCACCUUAUGAUUUCAUUUAGUGAGAGUGACCUAACAUACUCAUUGUAUGAUGUGUCUUGUUAUCUACUCCUAUGCACUCUAGUGUUGUUUAUAACUGACAUGAUACCACAUUACAUAUAGGAUUGAGUCUUAGUGUAUUUAUUGUAUAACACUUGUGUAAUGAUCAUUGUGACUUCUACAUGAUGGUGGGUAAUAAAUUAUGUGAGUGUGAAAUAUUGUGUUGUACUUGAGAUUUGUAAUGUGAAGGUGUGGAAUGUGAUUUUGUAAUUAAAUCAUUGAGACAAGUGAUGUUACGCAAUGAGUAGUAAAAUGAUGUGAAUUGUGCUAAGUUGAGUUUGUUAUACUUAUAUCAUAUACAUGUGUCUUCAUCUUUACCUGUUUAGGAAUAUGAUAAUUCACUAUGUGUGUUGUUUGUGUAUGACUAGGUGGAUUGUUUUAAGGAGCCUCGUACUGAAAGACGUCAGGAUAUAAUGCUCUGAUAAGAUGUGAUAUUGGGAUAUGAGUUUCUGUUUUAAUUGUAUGAAGUUCCAAACAUGUCAUUUUAUUUUAUUUUAUUUUAUCACUAAACUUGAGUUCUUUUGUAAAUUUGAACGGCCUUAUUUUAAGCCGAAAAUGUUUCAAAGAAGUUUUAUUUGAUAAUAGCAGAGUGAAUCUAAAUCCUUUACCCAUCGUGAAUUUACUUACAAUUUUAUUAAAUAAAAUUAAUUUAAUUAGAUUUUAUGUUAUAUAUAUAUAUAUAUAUAUAUAUAUAUAUAUAUUUCAUUUAUAUGCAUAUCAGUGUUGAAGAUAUCACAUCUUUGCAUUCUUUGCGAUCUUAAAACCUGCCUCAAAAAAAAAAAUCAGGGAUCAACUUUUUAUAUAUCCAAUAGCUUAAUAACCAGGGCCUUGCACUUGCACGCACGGGUGUUGAAAUUUUAAUAUACAAAGUAUUUUUAAAAUUAUUUUAGUGUAAAUAUAUAAUCAAAAUAUAUUGGAUUUGCUCAUAAAAUUAUUUGUCUUCAACAUUUGACCUUCAUCAAACACUUAAAAGUGAAGGGAAAAAAAAGUUAAAUGAUGAGAUAUGCAAGGCGUGGUCAAAGGAAAAUAAAAAUAUGUGAUAAAAGUAUGAAAAAUGAGAUGAAUGGUAAAGAAAGUAAAAAGAAACAUAAACUUACCCAUAAUUUCUUCCUUAUCAUGUCAUUUAAAUGAUAAGCCUUUACUGGAAAAACUAACAGUAGAGUAAUAGAAAACACAGAAGCAUGAUGCGUGCAAGGAUUGUCUAGGAUCACAAAAGUGCCACCAGAUCCUACGGGUAUUCAUAAAAAUAUCCGCUAGCAGGAUGAAAAUUAUCCUUAGAGUUGGAUACAAAACGGAUAUAUACUCAUAAGAACGGAUAUAUACCCAUAAAUUUUCAUGUGUAUUAGUGUGGGUAUGGAUAGUAUACCACCUAUAGUAUCCAACUCGUUUGGCCUUGCACAUAUUAUAUAUAUAUAUAUAUAUAUAUAUAUAUAUAUAUAUAUAUAUAUAUAUAUAUAUAUAUAUAUUUUGUAAAAAAUAAUUAUUCUUUUAUGACUAAUAUUUUAAGUCUCUAAUCUUUAACAAUAUUAUUAUAAGAGUGAAAAAUAUCAAACAUUUAAUUAAGUUAUUAGAAUAUUGACUUUAACAAUUGUUAUAUUGGAUGAUUAUUUUUGUAAUUUUAUUUAUUUAUGAGUUUAGAAAAACCAAUAUUAUGUUUGCUUGUUUUAAUUAAAUUUUAAAUAUUUUUAUGAUUUAUUAUUAUUAAUUUUAUAUGAGUCAUAAAUACCAAUAAGGAUAUAUAGUAUAGGAUCAUAUACGGAUAUUAUUUUUAAACACGAUGUAAAUCUUACCCAAGUCCUAUCCAUUAUCACCCUUUUGAUUGUCUAAGGAAAAAAGAAGUAGAAUAUAUAUUUAUUAUAAUUAUAAUUACCCUAAUAAAAAAGAUUAAUUUAAUUAGUUUACUUUAAAAUAAUCUUAUUUACCUCAAUUAAUGUAUAUUAUAACUACCUUGAUUUUAAAAUAGAAUAUACAUUGUUUAAAAUAGCCUACGUAACAACACUUCUUUUAUAAUAAAAAAAAAUUGAUAAAAGUUAUAUUUGUAAAAUAAAUAUAUUUUGAAAAAAGAAAUUAUAAUAAAUUAAUUAUUAUAUUAUAAAAAUCAAAAUAUGCAUAAUUACUAUAAUAAAAUAUUUAUACUGAGCAUACAUAAUUACUAUAACUACUAUAAAUAUAAUAAUAUAAUAAUAAAUAAUAUAUGUAAUAAUUAGUUUAAUUAUACAUUUCAAAAGAGUUUGAUUUUCAUAUGUUAACUUAUUUAAAUUUUCAAAGAUAGUAAUGCGAGAUUAUCAUCCUAUAAUAUAUUUUUGUCACAAAAUUAUCAUAAAUUUAAUGUUUUUUUUUCAAUUUGAAUCCAUUAUAAAUUUGAAAUUCGGAAUAAAAUAUAUGUUAUUUUAAUUAUAUAUAUAUAUAUAUAUAUAUAUAUAUAUAUAAUAAUAAUAAUAUAUUACAAUAAUCACAUUAAUUAUGUAUUUUAAAAUGUUCAAAUUACCAAUGAUCAAUCAUAAAAAUAGAUUAAUUGUCAACUUAUAUAUAAAAUCCCAGUAAUAUAUUUAUGUCACGAAAUUGAUAUAAAUCUUAAGCGAUUUUUAAGAUUUUGAAAUUUGAAAAUUUUGAAUUAGAAUAUAUUGUGUUAUAUAAAUUAAAAAGUGAUAUUGAAAACACGUGAUAUUAAAAAAAAUUGCCAUAAUUAUAAACCAAUAUCUAUUUAAGAUUUAAUGUUUUAAUUGAUUAAUUUAAUCAAAAUAUGUAUACGUGUUAUAAGUGUCUAUGUUACUAUAAUUAAAUAAAAUAGUGUAUUUUUUAUAAAUUAAAAAAUAAAAUAAAAUAAAAUAAUAGAAUUAGGCAAGAAAAGAAUGAAUAUGAUGAUUUCAACCGUGCACCUAUCAGGUAGGCAUUAUUAACCUUCCUAAUUUUGACCAGCACGGUAUGCACGUACGAAAUGUUAAACUAUAUUUUUCUAUAUACAUCAGAAAUAAAAGAAACGUUAUACUAUAUAAAUGUCAGCUGAUCCUGGGACUAGCUUUUUCAUAGAUUUUUUUUUCUUAUAGAUUCCAAUGUAAGACUUAUUUAAAGAAAAUAAUAACAUAUACCACGAACUAACCAGUUGUUGGUACCGUUCAAUUUAUAAAUGUUAGUGUCAGCGUUAAACUGUAUUUGUAAGGUUUAUUUAUAUAAUUUCUUUUACGAUAAUAUAAGAAAAAAGAUAAACAUAAGAUAAUAUUAUGUGAAUAAAAAAUUGUAACCAAAAAGUUAAACCAUAAACAAAAUUCAAAAAUCAAUGAAGAACAAAAAACAUUUUACACUAAAAUUUAACAUAAACACCAAUCAGAAUUUUGUGGUACAAACUCUCCUAAUCAAUCAGUCUGCUUGGGAAACAAAAUAUAUAAAUUGGAUGAUAGAAUUUUCUAAUUAUAGUUCUCUUCAACUAAAGAAGUGACGAAAGCAAAAAAUAUAAUCAAAGGAUUAGUAUCCACUUGACCAACCGCACGAGUUUAAUUAGUUAAUUAUCAUAUUGUCAAAUAUCAUUUUCUAAAAAUCAAACAUAAUAAGCAAAAAAUUCGUACAAGUGAUAAACAAGGCCACUACUUUAGGUUGACAAUUCAACAAUUGUUUCUUUGCAAAUUACUUGACAAACUUGGCCUCUUCUUUCAUUUAGUUCAUAAAGAUGCUUCAAUCCUUAUGCCUAUUUGAGCUUUAGGGCUAUGCAUCACAUGCAAGAAAGUAAUAGUCAAGCCAGAGAAAAAGUUAAAUGAAUAAAAUAUAAUUCAAGAACGAACGUUUGGACAUCUAGCUACUGUAUUCUACAUAAUCUGAGGAAAUCCUAUUUACAAUAGUUUUAAAAAGAACCCAACUGGUAACUUAAAACACAAGAAAUUGAAGAGGGGUGAAAAGAAGGAUUCACAUUAGUUUGGCCACCUCCAGACAAGAAAUAAAAAUGCAACCAACCUCUGAAUGCGGUACAUAUAACAGGCGGCUUAUCAACUGUACCUUAUGGAUGAAUUUUAGAACUCUCGGUAUUUAGUCAAAUCAAAUGUGAGAGUUCUCGAACAGCUGCAAAUUCCAAGUAAACCAGGUCAAUACACUGAGCUAGUGCCAUAAACAUACUAUUUAAAUCAAUUAAUGAUAUCAAGAAAUUUACCCUCUUUCAGAGUCUCUGUAAACCCCAACUAAUGCUUCGGCUUUGUCAUAAAAGGUGUCUUUCAGUGAUAUCACUAUACUCUGAAAACCAUUUCCACCAUCAGCAUCCUGACUAGUCCUUGCUCCUUCACAAGAUUUUGAACGAAUAAAGCCAGCAACCUUGGCAACAUUCAAGUUGUCCAAUGCAGCAUCAACUUCGUCCAAUAUAAAGAAUGGUGAAGGCUUAUAACUGAAACAAGAAGCAAGUAGGGAACCAUGUUAAUGGAACAUGAAGAUCAGAUAUCAGCAAAAUAGUUUUAGGCUUAUGUGAGAUGUGUCAGUAUAUUAGAUGAAUUUGUGUUAUUAAACACAAAUUCAGAGUAGUUACAAAAUAUUCUUGUUCUAAUAUUAGUACAAACAACUACCUAUGGAUGGAGAAUAGCAAUGCAAGUGCAGCAACUGUCUUUUCCCCACCAGAUAGCUGCUCCAUAUCACGGAAGCGCUUUGUUGGGGGCAUAGCAGUGUACUUGAUGCCAUGUAGAAAGGGAUCAUCAUCAUUUUCCAAGUUUAGGUAUGCUGUUCCACCCAGUGGAUGCGUGUUGCUCUUUGUAAGUUGUUUGUAAAUUUUAUCUAUAUUACCAGAUAUAUGGGUGAAAGCAUCCAUGAACAAGUGGUACCUGCAUCCAACACAAACUUUGGCUUCCUCAGAGGACAGAUAAGAUACAACAAUUAUCUAUUCAAAACAAGCUCCAAAACAGACGGCAAAGAAAACUCCCAUAUAUCUCAAUAUGAACAAUAAGUAACUAGAAAUCAAAGAUACACAUAGAAGUCAAAUAAGGAAAGCAUGUCAACUUUUUCUUCUUUUUUGUGUGUGUGUGUUGGGUUGGGGGGGAUGACAUAAGGUCAUAGUUUUCAGAAUUAGAGAGAUUCGCAAGGGGAAAUGUAGGACAAUACAUUUUCAGCAGAAACUUUUCCACAACCCCUUCAGUGAAAUUAUCAAAUAAUCAAGUCGACCAGGAGCUGAUUGACCUUUUUUAUUAGGAAUCUUUUAACAUAAGAUCAUAUUUUGUGGAUUUUUUGUGAAGUUACCAUCACAAUUUCAAAUUGGAUCUUAAAGGAUGUUGAUGUUACUAUCACAGUUCUGAGGGAUCAUAAAGGUUCUUCUGAAUUCUAUGAUGUGAUGCCAAAAUAGUAAAUGGUGGAAGCCAGUGAAUGGGUGACCACCCCCAAAAUGCUAUAGUGGCAUAGUAGAUUGUGACUUGUGAGGCAGCCCCUGCAGCAAGAUAUUAUCUAGAAUGAAAAUAAUUGAAAACGAAAAGAGUAAAGCACACAAAUAUGUGUGUGGAGUAGCACAUUACAGCAUUUACUCAAAUUUGAUAAAUCACACAAUUUAGUAUAGCAUCAUCUGUUACGCCUUGUUUGGUACGAAGGAAGGAAAUAACUUUUAGUAGAAGGAAAUGGGUUGGUGUUUGGUAGGUGAGACUUAGAGAGAAAUUAAUAUAAUUGUUGUGACAGUAUAAUAUUUCUCACUUAUAUCCACUAAUUUCUCCAUGUCUCUCCUCAUCUCUUCUCUAUUUCUCUUCUAACCAAACACCUUUAAUUUUCACUUUAUUUCUCACUUAUUUCCAUUCAUCCUUUUUUUAUUUUCAUCCACCCUAUUUUCUCCUCUACCAAACAGGGCAUUAAAAACCACUCCUCACUUAUACAAACAACUAGUCAUUUCAUUUUUUCUUUGCAUGUUUUCUGAUGUAAUUUUAAGAUUCCUUAAUGUGUCCACCUAAACCAUGCACACUAUAAACUAUUGGCUAGGUACUAAUGUUAUACAAAAUACAAGUAAUGGCAAAUGAAACAAAAAUAACUUGUACCUUCUCUGCUUAACCUCAUUGAAUCUCUGUGUUUUUUCCCUCUCCUCUUUCCUGACAGCUUCAAACUCUUCAGUUACAACUCUCUCUUUUUCUAGCAGAGCUUCAUAUUGGUCUAAUGCCUUCAAAUUUGGUGCAGUUCUUUCAAUUUCAGAUAUCAAGGCAUCCAUUUUUUGCUUAAACUCUACCUCAAUUUUAUCCCUAUCUGAGUGUCUCCUAUCUUUCAGUGCCCUAUUUAGUUGAUGAAAAUCAAAAGAUGGACCUGGAACUGAGAUAUCAGUAUCCAUAGGAUCCAGUAUGACUGGGAGGCUAAUCUGUUCUAGUUCACACUUUUCUAAUAUCUCCUGCUUUUGCACAUUCAACUGAUCAAUCUGUGCCUCCUGUAAAGACAAUAAAGAUGUUGGCUAUCUAUAUUAUGUCGUGCAAGUUACACAAGAGACAAGAACUGUACUCAUCUAACCUUAGAGUGUAUCAGACGAUUAAGUUUGGAUAUGUUUGUUGUGGCUGCAGAAGCUUUCUUUUUCCACUCUUGGAUUUCCUUUUCACAAUCUUCUGACUUUGAUUUCCACUCUACAAGAGUAAAAAGAGAACAGAGAAAGAAUAAGAUUUCCAUGGAAGAAAAAUAAACAACAAAUUGAAGUAAUAGUGGGUCUGUGUUCCCAUCAAUUUCAAAUAGCAAACAGCAAAGGACUACCCAGAUAACCAAGCUUUCACCCCAAUAACACCCCAAAUCCACAAGGGGAAAAAAAAAGAUAGCAAAUCCAACGAAAAACAACUGUCACAUGGUAUUCUAUCAAUAUCAUACAGCCAACACAGGUUGCACCAAAUAUACCUUUAGCUUCCUCCUUAAGCUGAUUAAUCUCUUCUGUAGCAUUCUCAGCUGCUAACUUUGCUGCAGCCUCUCUGUCCUGUACACGUUUUAAAUCUUUCUCUAAAGUGCCAAGAGAAGCUUCCAAUUCUUGAAUUCGUGAAGUCAUAUCCCGAUUUUGCUCAUACUCCAACCUGUAGAAUAUUUUCCAAAAAUACAAACAAAUCAAUAGCUAGAUGGCAAAUAUAACUUGAAGUUGAGCUCCAAGUAUCUUCUCUUUUUUUGCUCUUUAUCAAUUCUCUUGGGUAAUUGGAAACCUUCUGGACAUAAAAGGAGAUGCAGUACAAUAAACUUCGGGAAAGUGAGAACACUAUAUGCAACAAGGGCCAUAUUCCGUAUCACUUAACAAAAAGCUUCAGUUGAAGAAUUAAUUUUGAUGCAGUACAUCAUAAUUGACUCUUGGCUUCUCUACCACAUAAUCCAUGAUUUGAACCAUGAACCAACCCGCAAGAGUUAUGAAUCUAAAAUUACUAAUGUGAAAUAGAUCCUAACAACAAAAUAGGUAAUAGGUAUCAGACAUUUGCUGACCACCCCCACUUAAACAGUGAAACAAAUAUACAGACCUAGUCUCCAACACAUAAUCCUCCAACUAGUAUUUCUAUCCCCAAGAUAAUAUAGUAAUUAGUUUUUUUAAAAGAAAAAAAAAAGAUAGCUUAGCAUUCUAGACUUGGUUGAACUUCAACAAUUGUAGUUUUCUUCUUUCCUCUUUCAAUAAUGUACUAGUUGUUGGUAUUUAAAACACUUCUAGCAAAGCACAUACAUAUUAUUUGUUUGCAAGCUCAUAAAUGCAUUCACACAUGUAAAAUUAUGUUGGUCAUGUUAACAAAUAACAAGGUGUAAUUAAAGUAAAAGAGAAGGAACACACUGAUAUUUUAAUUUUGAAAGUUGGCUACUCAGGUUCAGCCUCUCCUCUGCUAUACUUUGAGCAGCCUUGAGUCGAUUUUCUUCAUACUCACGGAUGUUUGCAACCCCAACUGACUUGCUGAAGUCCCUGUAUAUCCUAUCAGUAAUUUCAUUUAUCCUCCUCUCAAGCUUACGUACAUCUGCAUUGCUCUUGUUAACAGCAUCAUUUAACUGCAGAGCAUAAACACCAAGUAACCAGUUAGAUAUAGAAGAACAUUGCUAAAAUGAACUAAGGAAAUGUAAAUGCCACCUUCUGCAGUUCUGGACUGAUGCAUUCAAUUCUUUCUUUGAUGGUCUUUUUUUCUUGGCUCAAAUUUGAAAGUUUAUCUUCAAUGCUUCGCUGGCAAAAUUAAAAGCAUAAAAAUAAACGAACAAAAGACAUAACUUCAAACACACAAUCCUUAAAUAAUGUUAGCUUGCAUUUGAUUGGUGCAUGUUUUCAAAAAUAAACCACAAAAAAUACAAUUUUAACUAAUUUUGCAAGGACAGAAUAUGACCAGUUAGAUUUCUCAUGCCUACAAACAAACUAUAGCCAACAGAAUAUGACCAAUUACUUCCAGCUAAUUAAUGCUGAUAUUUUAAUGCCUAUAAUUAUUAAAUUUCAAAUCUAAAAACUUAUAAACAAUUGGAUGAAGUUUGUGCUACUAGAGUUUGGGUGGAACUUAUGCAUCCUCAACAUAUAAACUAGCCAAAAAUCCUAUGAGCCCUGCUUUACUUGGUCAUUUAUUGUAUCCUAGUUGGAAAUUAAAAGACUUGCAGCUUCCAUGUUUGAUUGUACCUUUUCAAUCUCAGCAUAUUGAAUUUUCUUCUCAAGCCCACUAAUUUUUCCAGAUGCUUCAGACUCUUUAAGGUGCAUAUCUCUUAUUGAUCCUAGCUCUUCCAAUUCUGAUUCAUACUGCUCUUUCUUUUUAUUAAGUCCUGAGAAAACAACAUGAUUAUUGCAAGAGCAAAAGCUUUGAAUUAAAUUUAAAAAAAAUGAUAAAAACCUUCAAUUUUCUUGUCAUCCCACUGUUUUGACCUUGCUUCCAUUCCACCACUAGUGCCCCCAGUCAUUGUGCCGGAUUUUGUCAACAGAAUUCCGUCCACAGUUACAACUAAGCAAAUCAAAUUACAUAGAACAAUGUUCACUAAUUUGCAAUCUAACAAGCAUGAUUGUAUUAAAUGCACCAGGAAUGCAUCACAAGCAUAAUAAAUACACAAUAGGAUUCUCCAGAAGCCAAAAGGUUUGUUAGAUAAGAAACAAAAUUACAAAAAAACAAAGAAAAAUCGUGCAAAAACCAGAGUCAAGUAAAAGUUAUAAACUGGGUGCCAAAAAAAGUAAGGAGAAUGAGAAGCCAGAGGGAAAAGUACAUUGGGAUCAAAAUGGAACAACAUCCAACUACUAUCAUUAAGCUCUAAUGGCAUGUCAGUAAGAAGGUAAAGCACCUGUAGAUAAUAGAAAGAAAAAAGGUCUUCUUACCUUUAAACCUCUCACCGCUCCAGCUUAAAAUUUUGGCCUCCUCAAGAUCAUCACAAACAAGAGUAUUCCCAACAGCAAAGAGAAUUGCCUUCUCCAAGGAGGGAUCAAACUUGCACUAGUUAAGUCAAAAAGCUUAAAGCACUUAAGUUUAGAUGUGUAUAAUUAAGUGGUUUGACAAAAAGCAUGAAAUUAAACUUUAUGAUGGGGUAUUCAUGAGAAGGGAAAGAAGAGAAAGUACAAGAAUGAUUUAUGCUCAAUGCUUAAUAGACCACCUAAUUAUAAUCCAAGAAUGCAUCUGUCACUAUAGAAAUUCAUUAAUUCAACAGUAAGUCAAAUAGCAUUUUGAUGAGAUAUGAGAGGAAACUACUGAAAAAAAUCUGCAAAUCUGAAAAAAAAUAAUUAUAUAUCCUAUUAGGGAAAGGCUUUGAUUUUAGUGGGCUACAGGAAACAGCACUGACAACAGAAGCUGUAGCAUAAAGCAAUACACAAUAAGAAGGGAAAGGACAAUGUAAUAAUAGCAAACUGUUAAAAACUACCAAAACCCAGUAACAAGCAAACUCUGAUGAUGUUAAGAUGACAGCAGCUCAAUCCAUCACAAUGACAGACAUGGUUACUCCACCCACAGAAACAGCCAUUUGCAUGAGAAGGAGAUUGCACAUUCCUUUAGGAUUUUGAUCAUACAAUUCAAACGCAGUAUGAAGCAUACAACAACCUUAUAUCACUUGGUGAGGUCAACUACAUGGAUCACACAUCGCCAUUGACCUCAAAGCAGGAAGCAUGUAAGCAAAAAAUAUUUUAUAACUAUACAAUGGCUGUACAAAAAAUUGGAGUUCAUAAAAAGGUAAUGUGUGUACUGAUGGGUGGUCAACCCAUCACCAUUGUGCCUUCCCAGAUUCAGAAAUUUUCAAGCAAUGUGGUUAAUGUCAGACAUUGCUAAUUUUUUAAAUUAGUCAAAACUCAAAACAAUAAAGUCAUGAUGGACAAGCUAUCUACAGAAGGUAAAUAUCAAGAAAACUUCAGUUUCAUUAGCACAAAUUUAAAUAACAAAUCUGCAAACACGAACAGAACCAAAUUCUUCAAAGUAGCCACUGGAGAAAAAAGGAUAUUGAAUCACGUCAAAAAUCAGUUUUGCUGUACCCCCUAAUGUGCGCAAUCUUUCCAUUAUUGGCUUCACCCGAACUGAUUCCAGAGGAAUAAAUGUCUGGGGAGGAAGCCUCUGAUCUUUUAAAUACUGAAAAGCAGAGAAAAAUAUUCCAAUCAAUAUCAAUACAUAUAACAAAAUGAAACCAAUUAUAGAGCUUCAAUGUUCAAACAGGCAAAAUUGCAAUUUUAACACCAAAUUCUAGCUAUCAAGAAUAUUUAUAGCAAUCUGUUCAGUGCAACCAAAGAGCCGUGUCAAACAUAACAUAAAUUCCACUGGAAUGACAGAUGCAGAAAGUGAAUUCUAGUAUCAAGGAUGAAAAGACAAAAAAAUGAAGGUCCACCAGUUUGAAGGCACCAAACAAGCUUAAUACUUGGGCCUCAGUUAACAAGGUUUAUGUAGCACAUGACAUUUUGCUAUUUUGGAAGUCCAUAAUAAUUUUAUUUUAUUUUUGUAUUUUUUUCAGAGCUCAAGGAGUGUUCCUAUGCAUAUGCAUCUUGUAUCAAUUAAUGCUGCUUUGGCUUCUUUUCUUUUUACUUAUUCAUGCUGUGUAAUCACUAAUACUAGAGACAAAAAGGGUAUUCAAAUCAAAAGCAGCAAAAACCAUUAAAUAGAAUCUGAGUUCUAAAAGAUAACUUGGUAAUCAUAAAAUCAAAAGGAUAAAGCAAAAUGGAAAAAAAAUAUUAGGAAAACUUAUUAGGACCUUGAUGCAUUCCUUCCCGGUCUUUUCAUUAUCAACUACGACUGCAUCCAUAAAUUUACCCAUAGCAACGGUAACAGCUAGGUUAUACUUCUUUUGUGUUGGCCUACAAAGAUCAGUCAUGCGACCAUGAACUCCUUGAAACAGGCGUUUCAGAGUCUCAACAGCCUGAGACAACCUAACAUCUCUCUCAUUCUCAUAUCUAUCAGCCUUCAAUUCACGUAGUUGAUUUUCUAAUUCACCAAUUUUUAACUUCAAAUUUUCAUAUUUUUUCCUGCAGAUCAAAAGUAGAACACACCAUUACAAAAAUAGCAUCGGCAAAGUACUUUAACGCAGUGGGAAGCUUUAACAAUUUUUUUUAAAAAAAAAAGCAUUGAAUAACAUGUUGAAUUACUUGGAAUCACGAUGUUUGUCCUGCAUCACGCGUAGUUCUUUUUUCAAGUUUUCAAGGCCAACUUUAUUUUUUGCAGAAUUAUCAAGAAUUUUUUCAAGCCUUGCUCGCAUCUGUUCUUCCUGUGAAUUCAGUUCAGACUCCCUGUUUCUUAACUGUUGAAGAUUUUCUUCUAAGUUCUUUUGAGCUUCACUAUCAGCAUUUAGUUUCCUAUCUAGAAGCUCCUUUUCCUCUCUAAGCUUUGCAGUUUUCAUCCCAGCUUCCUCUUUGCUGUAAUGCAGCAUCAUUAUUACAAAUUCCAAAACAGAAAAAUGUAAUAACAAAUUAAAAGUUAACAUGCAUGAUAAGUGAUAACUACAAAGUACUGACAAAUAAAUUUUUAACUGCUCAGGGAGAACAAAUAGGCUACCAGAAGACAGAAUUGAUGAAAUUCAGAGCAAAUUAUGAAAAAAAUAUUUUUGUUGCUAAUAAGGAAGUUCCAAUUGAGAACACAUGGACAAACUGCUAAUGAGAGGUAAUUGGUUACUGAAUGAAAUACCAUAUACAAGCAACACCAUCUACACAAUUUUGGCUGAUAUUAGUCAAAAUCACCAUGAGUAAAUGUUCCAACUUCUGGCUAAUGACACUUGUUUUCUUUUUCCUUUUCAUUUCUACAUUAUCCAACUAAUGCACAAUUUUAACCCACAUAAAAUAAAGGAUUUUCCUUCAAGUAACAGAAAAUAAUAUACAGAAUUAGCAAAAUAGUUUUACCUUGUAUCCCUAACAGUCUAGCUCACAAAUUAUCUCAACAGAUCGGAAUAAUCAAAUAACAUGAGUACACAGUAUAGUGGCAGACAUGAUUUUAAGUGCACGCCAAAACUCAAUAGCAUUAAAGUUUUCUCUGAGCACAAUGCAAGUAUUCUGUUUCCUAAAAAAAGGAAAAAAAUGUAUAUAUAUACAUAUAUAUAUAUAUAUAUAUAUAUAUAUAUAUAUAUAUGUAUGUAUGUAUAGAGAGAGAAAGAGAGGCAGUAGUUGGCAAACAUCUACAUCAAAUAAACACUCACAUGCGAAAAUAUUCUUCCAAGUCAUUGCCUUGCAAAUCAAGCUCGUCAUCAACAUCUCGUCCCUUUUCCUGAAGGUCUGCCAUUUUGGCUGUAAGAUCCUGGAUGUCAUUCUGUAGUAAUGCUAUAUCAGCAUCAUGCUUCGUUCGUUCAACCUUUUUUUUAUCAAGCUCUUUCUUCCCUUUUUUAAUUUUUGAAGUGAUACGAGUCAUUUCCUCCUUUAACUUCAGAAGCUCAGGUUGCUGCCAGGAGGGAGGCAAACCAGAGAAACAAUCCCAUAAACUAUUCAGUGUAUAGCGUAUUUCAUAGCAUAACAAAUACAAUCAACGAUAGGAUUAUGGGAACAACUAAAAGAUUUUAGCUAGAUGAUUUUCAGGUACUCCCAAAUCUUUUUAUCUCUAUUUUGUGUCUAAAGGAGUUGCUAUCUUUACCACCCAAGCUAUUCACAGAUUAACAAAACCAUUUUCCAAAUCUUAAAAUUGCAAUUUUAAACCCAGUUUUCUUCAAAAUAAAUAUGACCAGAAGCAACAAAGUUCAAAGAGUAGAACAUAGAAUCGACCUAAGUAAAAAGUUCAAUUGCUGGAGUUGAUAAUAGUAUGAUGACAAUGAUCUUAACUAUAACCCCACCGCAAAUGUAGAAAAAACACUUACACUCUUGUCAAGCUUGUUGCUUUUCUCAGCAAUUCUCUUUUCACGUAGUGCAAUCUCUUUCAGAUAUUUGGCCUGUUCUUUUUUCUUUUUACUAGCUUCACUUUCGAAGUAUUCUAGUUCUUUAACAACACCUUCACGACUUUUUUCCUCAUCUUCAAGAUCCUUAAUUGUUUCAGCAUAAUCGUUGUGUAUAUUAAACAACUUCCACAAGAAAUGUUCUCCCUUCAUAGAUUUCUGCAAGAGAAAAAAACAAAGAGAUACUUGAAAACUUCACCUGCCACAAUAAGUCUGAUGACUGAUCAAGAUCAAGAGAGAAAAUGCAUGAAAUGGUGGUCUAGGAAGCACACAUGACUCCUAGUUGAAAAUGAAGUAGAAAUGUCGUCCAGCAAUGUAAUCAUAUUUUUUCUUCAGUUGAAAAUAAAAAAAAUAUCUAUAGGUACUUAAUAGUGAUAUAAUUAGCCACCAAUUUCAACCACUGCAGGGGUUGUCGAAAACUCGGGUAGAAAGAUUAUUUAUCAAAGAAAUUAGAAACUAUACACCCACACAAAGCCUAAGCAAUUCCAAUGAAGGGGAAACAGAUACAGGGGACAGGUAGAGGUCACUAAAAGCGGAACCUAUAAUUUUUUGUCAGUAGCCUUUGGAUCUUCAAGAGAAAGUUCCACUUUCAAUCAACAAUCUCUAUCAAGUAUCAAACCAGGUCAAUGGAGCAAUGGAGGAAGGAAGAACACAGAAAAGCAGUGAAGUCGUGGAAGUGUUGAUGUAAGAAGGGUAAUAGGAAAACUGAAAGUGAAACUCUUACUUUUUUUACUUUUUAUAGUUAAUAGAAGUACCACCCUGCCUUGGUCCAAUUAGCCAUGUGGCAGAAGAAAGUACAAUAAAAACAUAAUCUUAAAGCUAAACCAAGCAAAUGAAACUACAUCAAACUAAAACAGGCCAAUUGGAACAACAGGCAACCUACACCUACACACAUACACAACAAGCAUAAACAAACAUAAAUUGAAACAGAUCCCAUUACCAGUUCUUGUUGCAGACAGAGAUGCUUCUCUGCUUCUUCCUUCUGUUCUUUCUUCUGCUUUCUCUCCAUAACCACAGUCUUCUUUUUCUGAUAAACAAGUGCUGAUUUUUCCUCAGCAGCACCUUUUUCCUCCUCAAACUGCUCAUAGUCCCUCUUGCACUCGUCAGAGCCGGAUAUCUGUUCCACCAGUGCAGUGAGCUCUUUGGGAUUCUUCGACGCAAUAGACUCCACAUCACCCUGCACAAUUUACCAUUGUCAAUUGACACCUGUAACAGAUAUAGGCCAUGCUUGGAUAAACUUCAGUUCAGAGUCUAAAAUAGCAUUGCUUUAGUGCCAGAGUGGAGCGGCUACAAGGGCCACCAUAGCGGAGCAUUUCAGUGUAACAGCUGUAGUGGACCAAAUAGCGUCUGUAGCAGACAGGAUAGUGGCGCUAUGAGUUGUUUCCAGAAAAUUCCUUUGAAUAGAGAAUUAGGGCUUUUUUAGGGGGAUAUUCUUGGGAUUUCAAUUUCCAAAACGAAAUGUACAACUAUAAUAGGAGUGAAAAUGAUAAAGAAGAAGGCUUAGAUUUUAAAGAUGAUGAUUGAUGAUUCCUAUCUAAGAAACUAGUAUUUGACCUUUGUUGAUAUUAAGUUGUUUGUUUUGCUUAAGGUCCCUAUUAUGACUUUUUACUGUUAAUUAUGAAUUAUGAAUGUCAUGAUUUUUUGAGAAUUUAUCUCUGUAUAAUAACUAACAAUAGAAACUAUCCCACUCUAGCAUUUUUCAGGGAUAUAAAAAACGCUGCCUCUCCAUAGAAACUUAUAUUCACCUCAAGCUUUUGGAGAAGUAAAACAAUAGAGCUUCAACAAAAGUUAAUUGCACAAAAAGGGGAAAAGAAGCGAAGCAGAACCUGAAAGACCAAGAAAUUGCGAGCUUUGACGAGAAUGCCGAGGGACUUAAGUCUGUUGUUGUAGGUGUCCCAAUUGACAAGGGAUUCGUCGAUGCGGUACUCGCUGGCGCCGGCGCUGGUGAUGGUGCGAGUGAACUUGAUCUCGGUGGAGUUGGCGAGGUGGUAGACGAGGCGGACGAAAGCUCUGCGGCCUUUCUGCUCCUUCUCGCGGUCGUCGAAGGCGUAGAUGAGGUCCUUGAGCUGCGCGCCACGGAGCUGGCCGGUGCGGACGCCGAGGACGAAGCUGAUGGCGUCCAUGAGGUUGGACUUGCCGGCGCCGUUGGGGCCAAGGAUGGCGGUGAAGUCGUAGAAGGGACCGAUCACUUGGAAGCCCUUGUAGGACUUGAAAUUCUCCACCUCGAGGCAGUGGAUUUUGCCCGGGGAGAGUAGCGACGGCAUCGUGAAGUUCGUGCGUGCGUGCUCGGAGUGAAACUGUGAAACCCUAGGUCGAAUCGAAGGUGCGGUUCCGGCAAGGGUGGAGUGAGGUUAGGGUUUGGAAUUGAAUGGGGGAGAGGGGAAAUUGGCGGGAGAAGAAACCCUAAGAGAGAGUAGAGUGCGUCGUUAGUCGUUACGUAGCCAGUAGAGAAAGAAUGACUUAAAGCUUUAACGCGAUAGAAAGAGGCUUUGAUAUACUCACUCAACCAAAAAAAUAAAACAUAUAAUUGACUUAUUGUUAUGAUUAUAGACUUAAUUAUAUAUUUGGUCUUUCAAUUAUAAUUUAAAAUUUAAUUUAGUUAAUCAUUCAUUAAAAUGCUUAAUUAGGCUUUAAACGUAACAAUCAUGUGAUUUUCGUUCAAUUAUAACUUUUUCUUUUGUGAAUGAAAGGGGCUUAAGAAACAAACUAGAAUUCCCAAUGUUUGCCGAGAAUGAGAAAAUAACAUUUUCAUAUGAUCACGUAAUAGUCCACCAGCUACAACUUUAGUAAUUAUAACUUAUACCAUUAAAUUCUAAUUUGGGGCGAGUUAAAUUUGUAAAUAGUGACGGCUUAAAAAUAGAAUUAACUUUCAUAUGAUCACGUAAUAGCCCCAGUUUAACUAUUAUAAUUUAAAAAAACCAUAGAUUUUCCUAAAUCAAUUUCAAUCAGAACCUAACCAUCCCCCAAUUAACACACUCAAAACCCUGACUACCUCAAAUCAACACAAUCAGAAUCCUAACCACUACCAAACCAACACAAUCAGAACCCUAAUCACCUCAAGUCAACACAAUUGGAGCACAAUCAUAAAAAAAAAUUGGAAAAAAGCAAAUGGGUUGUCGUCGUCUAAUUCUCCAACCCCAACACCCACCCAUCCCCUUCGUGAACACAACUUAAGCUCACAAUGGAGCAAAUUUGGUUCAUUGUUUUAGGAGGUGGAUGCAUCAUAUCUGGACUUGUGGUUUAGGUUGCGUGCGGAGGUUGGUGGAUUUGGUUUGGGUGGUGGGUGCAAAUCUGGGUUCCUGGGGGUGCGGUGGUGGUUGGUGGUGUGCGCAGACAAUGGAGCGCGAUUGUGUGGUUGGAGGUAUAUGCGUGGAGUUUGGAUCUUUGCGGAGGUUGAUGGUGCUUGUUUGGGCUGAGUGUGGAUUUGGGUCCACAGAGGUUGUGGUGGUUUCUGGUGGUGCGCGGUGGUGCUUGUUUGGGCUUUGCGGAGGUUGGCGGUGUCGUGGUUGCGGUAUGAUGCUGGCAAUGUCAUGGGUGGCGGUACUAGUCAUGGUUGUGGGUGGUUUUUUAGGGUAGAAGGUUAGAGAAAGCAAAAGAAAGAGGUUGACUGUAAGUCAACGUGAAAUUUUUUACAGAAAGGUUAUAAUUAAUGCGUUUUUAGAACUUAAUUCAACAUUUUAAUAAUUAAUAGAUCAAAUUGAACUUUAAAUCAAAUGUAUAAUUAAGCUAUUGUUGUAUUAUAAAGGUGAUUAAGUUUUUAGUCUUUUGAAUUUUUUAAAAUUUUGAGUUUUAGCUCUUAAACAAAAUUUAAUCUUUUAUUAUGUUACAUGUUUUUUUAAUGCCAUGUAAAGCUGGAAUAAGUCCCUGAAAAAUUGUAGCAAAGUAGUAAAUACUUCUGGACUAGUCCCUAACUUAUGUCAUUAACUUCAAUUAAAUACCUAACUUAUGAUAACAAUUGCAAAUCACACCAUGUCAUACCUUUUGCAUGUCUGACAUGAAAUUCCACCCAUUCUGUAUGUAAUCCCCAAGAUCUUCAUGCUACAAAGUUAAAAACCAUUUCCAAUUGUCUUUGUUCUCAAUGUCCACAACAGCAUAAGCAAUAACAUAGAUGUGGUUAUUGCCAUCAAGCCCAACAGCAGAGAGCAAGUUUCCUCCAAAUGCACUCUUUAGGAAACAUCCAUCUAGACCUAUGAAUGGUCUACAUCCAGCAACAAACCCCUUCUUACAGCCAGCAAGACAAAUAUAUAGCCUCUGAAAUUGUGGUGGACCUUCUGGACUUGGCACUGUGUUGAUCUUAACUGUUGAUCCAGGAUUGCUCCUCAACAAUUCAUGUGCAUAAUCAAAUACUUUGGCAUAUUGUUUCCUCUCAUUCCCUUCCACUAAUUGCUUUGCUUCUUUCAUGGCUCUCCACAUCUUUGUAACUUCAAUGUGCACUCCAAACUCUUGCUUGAAAUAUUCCAAAGCUUCAACACAUUUAAGGGUUGGCUGCAUUCUGAGUUUGCCCUCAAGUUUACUGACCACCCACUGUCUAUUUGCUUGUUUGUUGUUCACUUCUCUGCAGCAAUUAUGGUUAUGCUUAAAUGUCUUUAUCUGAAAAGAGUUUCUAACUUCAUUCUUUGCACAGUAGAUUUCCCAAUCACAAAAUGCCUUCUUGCAUUUUGCUCUAGCCCUCUGUUUAUCAUUCUUCUUCCACUUGAACUCCCUGCCCAUCAAUAUGCUAUACUCCCUCAAGGCAGAUUUAAAUUCAUCUAGAGUACCAAACUCCAUCCCUAAUUCCAACUUCUGUUCACCAACUCCACUACUUUGACUAUAUUGAGGAUAAACUUCAGGAUAUUAAGCUCCUCUGAAUGAUAACCAUCUGUCUCAACUUCAGCUUCAACUUCAUUCAACAUACAAGAGCCUUUCCUCCUCACUAUCAGCAACAUCUCUCUCUUCACCAUCAGCAUCUCUCUCCUCACCAGCUUCAGCAUCCCUCUGCUCACUACCAUCUCUUUGCUCACCAGCAUCAGUAUCCCUCUGCUCACUACCAUCUCUUUGCUCACCAGCAUCAGUAUCCCUCUGCUCAUCAUCAUCCCUCUGCUUACCAGCAUCCGUCUGCUCACCAGCAUCUGUCUGCUCCCCAGCACCAACAUCUGCAUCAAUGGUCAUAAAGUAAAAAUUAAUCAUAUUAAUUAAUUAUGGUAACCAUGUCGGACCAAGUACAGAUGAAUUAAAACUUACCUUCCUCAUGGCCAGCAACAGGUACAUCAUCUAAAUCAUCCUCAUUCUCAACAGCUUUUCGAAUUGGAUAACAUUUCAAGUACAACAUUUGUGGGACUUCUUCUAAAAUUGGAUCUACUUCAUGAUGAAAAUAAACAUUUAUCUCAUUCUCAUUUUCAAAAGCAUCCCUAACUAAGUGUAAUAUAUCUCCAUCAGUUGUACAACUCCUUAACCCAUGAUUAAAAUCUAAGUCCUUAUCAAUCAACCAAAAACAUUCUCCUAUAUUACUAUACUUCUUACAAGCUUUCACCAGAUCAUAUAAGAUAAAUGCAUUCAGGCAAUCUGCAGAUAUAUCCUCCCAAACGUCAAAUUCUCCGCCUAUAUAUUCAACCUUUCCAUCACUGGCACGUGGAGUGAAUCUUCCUCCAUGGUGCAAUACUAAAGUUAUAUUAUCAUUCAUUCUACACAAUCAGAAACCGCAAACAUGGUCAGAUAUUAGGAAAUAAAAAAACCUACCUCAAAAAGCGCGAAGACAUUGACAUUGUCAAAAACCGCGAAGACACAAUCAAAAACCAAAAACAUUGUCAUCUAUAAAAACAGAGCAUCAUAAACGAAAAUAAUAAACGAUCAUAAACCUCCCUACGAAGCGCGAAGACAAUGCCGCAAAUGAAACCCCUCGAACAUGUAAAACCCCAAAUCAAACCACCAAAACAAUGCAAACGAAUUGAAUGAAACCACCAACCUGACAAAAAGCGCGAACCCUCAAUCACGAGAAUGCAGGGGAGGGAAGAGCAACAGUGAAAGGGAAAAUGGGUUUACUUCAUUUUUGAUUUCUUUUAAACCUAAUUUUUCAAUUCAGUCCUUGCCUUGUCACAUAAUAUUGCUGACUUGGACUCAAACCUGCCACAUUGGAUGCUUACAUUUGCCAAAUAGACAUUUGACUAACGGAGGAAAUUAGAUUUUAACAGCAGAGACUUAUUUGCAUAACGGAGGUAAAGUUAGGGACUAUUAUGAAUUAAAAUUUAAGUCAGGGACUAAUAUGCAAAGUGGUUACAAUAUCAGAGACUAAAUUGCCUAUUCACUCAAAUAUAAUGAGACAUGGGGCGUAAAUAAUUUUGAUGAAGUCAACAAGAAAAUAACAUGAAAAAUUAAAACAAAAAAAAUAUUUGACGACGAACAUCCAUACAAUACUACCAGACAGGUAAAGAGAGAAGAAAAAGAAAAAAAUAUAUAAUUAUAAUAAAAUAAUAAUACAUAAAUUAUUAUUUAUAAUAAUACGGUAACCUCGUUUUGACCGACGCAAGCGGUACCAUGAUCUGGGCAACCGCAAUCCUCUCCUCGUCACAACAACUACACCUAAAGCUAAGAAACAACGACAACCUCGUUCUCCUUGCUUUCAAAUCCACCAAUACCACCAUCAUUUGGCAAAGCUUCGAUUCCCCAACGAACACCCUUCUUACUCUCCAACCACUCACGGAGCGAGCGAGCUUCGUUUCCUCGAGCAGCCAUAGUGUUACUAGAUGAACCUUCCAGUUCAUGUUUGGACCUUUGUUGGCCAUUGCUGGAAAGGAAGAAUUUCCAGAGGUCCAUUCCUAGAGCUAUGCCCCAAGGCUUUGAAGGUAUCUUGCAGAUGCUUCAGAACCUGCAGCUAAUGAUUCAAAUGGCUGAAUGAGAGCAUCAAUAUCAUCAUUCCCAUCAUCAAUGGCAACUUGCCCACUACUUGAUGUCGAUUGAUCAAGAAAUGUUUGCUCUGCAUUAGUUGUUUCCAAACUAGCUUCAAUGCCCAUAGAAAGUUGAUUUUCAGUAUCACGACGAAACGUACGACCUCUUCCACGGCGUUGCUCAUGUUCAUUACCAUGUUGAAUGUGGAAUGUGGAAUGUGCUGAAUCACAAGAGAGGAAGGGAUUUGAGAUUUUGGUGUCCCGUCAUAUAUACUUUAGUGCUAAGUUAGAUAGUGUACAUAGUAUUAAAAUUAUCAUAUCUCACUAACAACGAAUGAUUAUUUUACAAAACUUAAGAUAAAAAUAUGGACUAUUUUAGAUUUUUUAUUAAGUUAGAAUUAAUAUGCAACACAGUCGGAACUAAAUUAUUUAUUUACUUAGAAAAAAAAAUACAAAAUUUAUCUAAUCUUUUGGAUCAAUUUUUAACUAAUAAACAAUAUGAUAAUUAAUUUUUUGAAUCUAUUUAAUUAAAAAUACUACAAUUCCGUGCCUCUAUAAAUUUGUGGGUUGAUUAAAGGGAGUAGUUAUAAGAAUAUUUGUGGAUCAAUAUAAAAAAAGUAUAUAUAAAAACAUCAUAUUAUUCUCUAUUCUCAACAUAGAUUAUAAAGGAGAAAAGGGGGGAGAGGGUGGGUAUUGCCUCACACACACAAACACAACAGUGUCUGCUGCACCCUACAAUGGUUUCGCUACCAACAUGGUUUCGCUACUUUCACCACAAGGUCGGAUACUCCGUUUCCCUCGCCGUGAAGGUUCUUCUUCCCUUCCUUUACUCUCUCACCCUUUUUUUUUUCUUUUUUUUAUUGUAAUUUUAUUCUUCCUGAUAAUUGUCAAUGGUAGUCGUUUAUAUUUGUUGUAAAGUUUUCCUACUUUUAAUUUGCGCGAUUCCUGCUUAAUAAAAGGAAAAUAGAAAGCGGUGUGCUUGCUAUUACCCUUGUUUAUUAUUUGGUGGAGAAAUUUCAUUUGUGGGAAUAUCUGGAUUUUAUGAAGAGCGAAAGAGAUUAGAAUUGAAAUUGAAAUUUGCUUCGUUGUCAAAUGGUAUGGUGUUCUGCAUAGUGUGUUUGUAAUGUUUUCGUUUAGGUUCUGGUUUUUAAUGUUUUCAGUCUAGUCCAGAUCAUGCUCGAUGGUCGUGUUAGAGGAUUUUGCAACUGGUUGUUUCAUUGUGUUGUUAAGGAGAUCAUCACUUGUAAAUGAAUGCGAGUCGGUAUGGGUGUGAUGAUAGAAUCUCUCAUUUGGAACAUACGAGUACGUUCCGAGAAUGAUGUUUUUUUGUAAUUGUUAGUGGGAAUUAAUGAUUGCAAGUACAUUUAAAACUGUUUAUUUUGCUGUUUAAGUGUUCGGCAUGGUAACGAUGAUGAGAAAGUUCUGUAAUUUGGGUCUAGGGUAGGAUCCUUCUCAUAAUUUGUUCUAAUAACUUGUCUUGUUUAUUUACAAUGAGAUCUUUGCUCUUAGUUCAUUCAAAAGUUCUUACUCAACAUGAGACCUUGUUGAAUUCUCUGUCAAUAGGCACUCUAGCUUGUAUGUUAAUUAGAUUUGGGGAAAAAAGAUUAAUGAAUGGAACAAAAUUUGCUUGUCCUCAAAUCAGGAGCCGUGUAGUUUGAAAUAAAUCAUAUUUGGUGUUCUCGUAGCAAUAGAAUGGUGGCUGAAAUAUUUAAGCUGAGAAAUUUAACUUUUAUUUAUUACAACAAAGUGAAUAAGGGCUUGUUUGGAUAAACUUAUGAGGAAGGAAGGAAAAAUGAAAUAAGCUUCCCAUAAGCUAAAUUUAGCUCAUGCAUAAGUUAAAAAUAAGUUUUUGAGGAAGCAAAUAUGUCAGAGCUUCUACAAAUUAGCUGAUGCAAAAGCUAAUUUUUCAUUCCUAUUUUCUUCUCCUACUAGUGCUUAUGGAGAAGUUUAUCCAACGGGUCCUAAGUUUAACUGUAUGUCUAAACUACCUUGGAUAAGAAGAAAUCAUAACCUUUCAAACAAAACUCCUUUUGUUUUAUUUAUUUUCUUCUGUACAUUGGGUAUUGUUCAAGCAAUAGGUCUUCUCCACUCCCUUUUAAAUUUAUGCAGUGUUAACAGAGGUGUUGGUGGCUUGGAAACCAAUUUCUAUCUUAUUUUAUGAAAAUUAAGGGAAACAUUGGAUAAGAGGCAUUGGAGGGCAUGUGAUUUCCAAGAUUACGCUUUUAUCUUGAAAAGGCUAAUCUAUUGGUUGUCAAUCAUUUCAUCCUAAAGAAUGACAUUUAUAGGAAUAUUUUUCCUUGUAGUUUAAGUUCUACAACUGUGCCAGUGCAAGGUUUUCCUGUUUUCCUGUUUUCUAUAACUGUUUAUCACAUUGUCAGCACUUAUAAAUCCCCUCCUCUGAAAUGAUUUUUACUAUACAAUGUUUAAUGUGAACAGAACAAUAAAGGAGAUCCAAUCACAGCCAGAGAGAUAAAUGAUGCUGUUUGGAAAAACUUCUUUCUAGGAAAGCUGACAUACUUGCUCUGGAAUAAAGGAGAGGAGAUGGCCCCUACUAUUGAUGGAAAAGCAGUAACUCUUGUUCGGAAAUUACCAGCUGUAGACCCAACGUAAUUUCAUACACUAUCCUUUUGUGCAAAUCUAUUGACUGUUAUUGCUAGUUGUUUGAUAUUGGCCUUCUAAAGCUAGAGAUUCAAUAUACAUGUUUUACAUAAGAAGCUUCUAUUUGCUUUAUAUGCCUUUCUUAGACUCUCGGUAUGCUGUAUCUUCUUCUUGGAUAGCUGUGCAACCCUUGCUUACAAACUCUUUCAGUCACUUAUUUUCUUUUCAAUGUCUGUUGAGAUAGAUCCCACUUUUUUUACAUCUGGCCCAUCAUAUAUUUGUCGUAGUGAACUCUUGAAAAUCUUUUCUCUUGUUAAAUUAUAGUUUAUCCGCUGCCACUACUGAACAUCUGUGUAACACAAUUUAAGUUUACCCACUUUAUCUUGACAACAUUAAAUAGUACAUCAUUUCGGUGCUGUGUCCAUCCAAAAUAGCAGAAUGGCAUAGAAAUAGAUAUCAUCUGGAGCUUAUUAUUUAGUGUAUUAUCAUCUCCAUUUUUGUUAUGAUAGUCUGGGUUCUUUGACAGGAGUGUUUUUGUAGGAGAUGUUGUGGUUAUGAAGGACCCUGAGAAGCCAGAUAACUACCUACUCAGAAGAUUAACUGCAAUUGAAGGCUAUGAAGUGGUUUCUACUGAUGAAAAGGAUGAACCCUUUAUUCUUGAGAAGGAUCAAUGCUGGGUAGAGGCUGAAAAUGAAAAAUUGAAUGCCAAGGUAAAAGCUGCCUAACUUUGCUAUCCCUAGGUGGAUCAUUAUGCACCUCUGCCACAAUUUGAACAAUAUUAUUGUAUUAAUGUCAUAGUAAAAGUUUUAGAUUAAAACAUCAUUUAUCAAGCAAUGAGUUAUCAUUGAUAUACAAGUAUUCAAGUUGAUUACAUACUCUUAGUCAUUUAAACUUUCUGAAAUCAGUGUGUAAGAUUAAUUUGAUAACUAGAUUGUUACAGAAGAAUGAUAAAUAGACCCUCAAUAGAUUGAUUGGUUAAAAUAAUUUUAUAUGAUGAGUUAGUAGAGGUGAAUUCACCUAAUGAGGUAAGACUUUUGUUGUUUGUUGUUGACUUAGUGGAGUGUAAGCCAGUACUUACUUUUGUCAACAAUUCUGACACUAUUGACUGGAUCCGGACUUAUUUUUCUGUUAAACCCCCUCUUUUUAAGACAUAAAAAUGAAAGACUGUAGCUUAUCAUGGCAAUUCAGUCAAGCAACUUUUGGAGUUCAGUGUAUGAUAUGGCUAGAGGUCGUAUAUGUUAGCAAGUUUGACUUGAUUCCCCAAGUGGAAAUGUUCAAUCCAUGUUUUAAUUCAUUCAUGACUUUUAUUUUUCUGGUAAUACCAAAAUUGCUUAUUCCUAAACAAUAACCAUGGUUGUAACCUGUAGAAGAAACAAAAAACACCUCUAACAGAAGAAAAAGAAAUCACCCACUAACGAUUUUUAGUGAGACUCUCGAUAUUUGAUUAUUUUCUAUGUAGCACUGUAUGGUUAAGUGAGAACUGGGGAUAUACUUAAUUUGAACCUCAUAGAUUUUCUUACAGCUUUGGAAUUUUGUUAAGUGACCAAAUUAUCUUUAAACUUCAAAGUGAAUGUUUCCACAAAGGCUAGUAAAUCUGCUGUAAUAUUUUUGCUAUGCUUUUCCCUCUAUAAUUGCUUGUAGAACACUAGGAACAAUUCAUUGUUUAAUGCUCCCAACCCAAAUGGCAGGAAGCGAAGGAUAGCCGAACAUUUGGUCCAGUUCAGAUGACAGACAUUGUAGGCAGAGUCAUAUAUUGCCUGCGAAGUGCUGUAGACCAUGGCCGUGUACAAAACAGGUGAACUAAAUUUCUUAGGCUAACUAAACUAUCAUGAACAAAAAAUGGGGAUGCUCUUUUGAAUUGAUUGUUGAUAUAUUUUACCCCUUAACCAGUGAUUUCGGCAUGCGAAACGAUACACCAGUGCUGGAAGUGGAACUUGAUGUUGAUGAGAUGGCAAAGAGUCACAAAGCCUGAAACAUUUUUCCCAAGAAACACUAACUAGUUUACUUUACGCAUGCCUUAGUUUCUUCUUGUGGAUUUUCCUUGAAGCACAGAUUGAAGAAUAAAAAAAUAUGAUUUUUAAAUUGUUGCAAUGGGAUGAUGGUGUUAUGUGGAUGUCCUCUGCAUGCUAGGCAAUUGGCUGCGGCCUGUGUUAAAGCUUGAGUUCAACAUUAUUGUAUGCUAAGUUCUAGCAAGGACUCCUCUGCCCUUUGUUCUAUUCAUUUGGCUGUAAAAUUGACCAAGUUUUGGUCUUUUUUUGUUAAUGGUCGAGGAAGAUAAUAAAAGAUGCUGCGUUGUUAGAAAUAAUGCUUUCAGAUAUUUUCAUUUUGUGAAGACCUAGUGCCUAGACUGAGUGUUCACUUCUUGCCAUAUUGUCUUUCUAGGGAAUAAUCCUUGAUAUCCGUUCUCUUUAGUCAGUUGAGUGAAAAAGAACGUUUAACUAAAAUUUACCUGGAUCACACGCACAAACUUUUAAGUCACAAUUUAUGGUUAAUGACCUGCAUUAGAAUGAUGCUUGCAAAGGUGGAAUUGAUUUCUUGGAUCCUCUGUUGAGACUAUAGAUUAUCACUUCACAGACGUUUAUGGUAAUUGGUAAAAUUCCAACGUAAUAAAAAAAUACUCAUUUUUUUAUCCACACUUGAAAUUAAGACAAUUUUUUAUUUAUCAUUUUCUAAUACGCAAAGUGCUCUUAUAAAUAUUUUUUAAAUUAAUUAAGUUUCUUUGUGACAUUUUCCUUUUUUAUUUAUAUAUGUAUAUAAUUUUAAAAAAGUUAUCACCUAUGCUCAAUUUUACCUUUUUAUAUUAAAUUUUGUUCUUUUUGUUCUCAAAUAUAAACUGAUAUAAUGUUUUUUUUUCUUUAAAUUUAAGUUUAUUAUUGCGUGACUUAUAAAUUCUGUAUUUUUUUUCUUUUAAAAGUUAACCCAUCAUUUUUUUCAAUUUUAAAUUUUAAUUGCUUUGAAUUAGUUAUGACUAUAUAUAUAUUUAUGAUUUUAUAUAUUUUAUUUUAAUAAACAAAGUAAACCUUUAAUUGAUAUUUUAAAAUAAUAUCCAAUACCGUGUUAUAUUACAUAUUCUGGGUCAUUAAAUUAGUUCUUUAAUGAUAUUAAACGUGAUAAAAAAAAGUUGUUAUAAAUUUAUUCCUAUACUAUAGAUUAAAAUAUUUAAUUGUCAGCAUUACGUUUAAUUGAGUAAGACUGCACUUUAAAAUUUACUCAUAACACAACAAAACUUAAAUAACAUGAAUAUACACAAUGAAAAUUAAAACAAUUGGAAACACAGCCAUAUAAUAAUAUGACAUGAGACCACAACAGGAACACUAGAAAGUUGAAAUACAAGAGAGAGAGCGUAUCGAUCACGCAACACAAACUUUUGAGUUUCGAAUGUUGUCUCCGUGCUUUGUUGUGUUCAAUGUUUCAGAAUGAACCUCGGUAUAUUGAAUUCUUUAUGAAUUUAGAAUGACCCUUGGAUUUUGAGAAUUCUUAAUGGAUUUAGAAUGACAAUUGAAGUUAUUUAGCCUUGUAAUAACUUGGAAAGAAAAAAGCAAGAAGGAAGAAAGAAAUAAAGGAUGCUCAGGAAACUCAGAAUCAAUAUUGAUUAACUUGCACGAAAAAUUACAAAAACUAUAUCUCCUGUGAUUAUUAGCUAUACACAUAUAUAUAAGAGGAGAAACAAAAGAAAAUAACUAAAUACAGCAAAAUAGAAUUAUAAUAGAAUUAAUAGAAAAAUAGAAGCUAGUUAGAAACAGAAUAGCAGAAGUAGCAAUAGACGCCUUGAUCCAAUACCCCCCCCAUCAAGAUGGGAGGAAGAUGUUAUCAAUACUCAGCUUGACAAUGAUACUAAGAAAUGUAUUUCGGAGUAAGGCUUUGGUAAAAAUAUCUGCAAGUUGGUGGUACUUUCUGACAUGCAUGAGCCUUAAAACUCCUUGAGAAACCUUUUUCCUGACAAAAUGUAGAUCAAUCUCUAAGUGUUUGGUCUUCUCAUGAAAAGUGGGGUUGGAAGAAAUAUGGAUUGAUGCUUGGUUAUCACAGUAGACAACAGCAAAGGGAAUUCUGACAUUGAAAUCAGUGAGUAAAUUUUGAAUCCAUGUAAUUUCACUAGAAACAGAAGUCAAUGAUCUGUAUUCUGCUUCUGCUGAGGACCUACUUAUUGUCUUUUGGCUUUCCAGGAAACCAAGGAAUUCUCUAAGAAGAUACAAAAGUCAGUGGUUGAUCUUCUACUUUCAGGACAUGAUCCCCAAUAUGCAUCCACAUAUGCAUGUAACUUUGUGUCUGAGUUGGCUCGAAAAAGAAUACCUUGACCAACAGUGUUUUUAAGGUACCGAAGUAACAUGUUAGCAGCAUGCAUGUGGUUUGUAUAGGGGUUGGAGACAAAUUGACUUAAUUUGUGCACACAGUAACAUAUAUCUUUCCUAGAUAUAGUUAAGUACAAAAGUCUACCAACGAGCCACCUGUAAGAUCCUGGAUCGGCAAGUUUUGUUCCUGAGUUAGCUGGCAAUUUGUUAUGUGCUUCCAUAGGAAUUGAAGAAGGUUUGCAGGCAAGCAUUUCACAAUCUUCGAGGAUAGACAAUGUGUAAUCUCGCUGACACAUGAAAAUGCCUUCCUUUGAUCUAGAUAGCUCUAGGCCGAGGAAAAAUUGUAGGUCUUCCAAAGCUUUGAGUUUGAAGUGCUCUUUCAAAAUGGUCUUAGUUCUGGAUAUGAUGGCUUGACUUGGGCUGGCCAAGAUGAUGUCAUCAACAUAAACUAAAACUGCUAUGAAAUUAUCUCAUUCUCCUUUAGUGAACAAUGAGUAAUCAUACUUAGAUUGUUUGAAUCCACUUCUGAGUAAAGCAUUGCUAAAAGCAUUGAACCAAGAUCUUGAAGCCUGCUUGAUAUCAGAAUGGAGGCAUAGCAUAAUGUUCCAAAGGUCCUGAAAUCAGCAUAGUUCGGAAGUUUAGCAUAUAAAAUCUCAAAUGGUGACUUGGCUUUCAGAAUGGGGCUAGGGGUCCUAUUCAUCAAGAAAACUGCAGUUUUGACACAUUCACCCCAGAAUUUUAAUGGUAAAUAAGAUUGAAACAGCAAGGCACGAGCAAGAUUUAAAAUAUGUAGGUGUUUCCUUUCUACAACACUGUUUUGUUGUGGGCGUUCCAUACAGGAAAAUUGGUGUAAGACACCUUUAUGUGAAAAGAAAUCUGAAAGGUAAGUUCUCUUGAUGGUGGUUUGAAAUUGGUUUUCCACAUAUGAGAAAAUUUGUGGUACAAUGAAGAGACAAUCAGAUUUAUUUCUGAGAAGGUAAAUCCAAGUGAACCUACUUUUAUCAUCUACUAAAGUUAAAAAAUAUUUGAAUCCAUCAAAGGUAACUUCCCUAAAAGGUCCCCAGAUGUUAGUAUGUAUUAAAUCAAACAAUUCAGCACUAAAAUUGUUUUGGUUAGUGAAAGUGAAUCUGUUUUGUUUAGCAAUAUGGCAAACUUCAUAAUAAAAUUUGGAAUCAAUAUACGAUAUAGGAACUUUAUUGCAAAUCAGUUUGUACACAUGUAUAGGUAUGUGGCUCAAUUUGUGGUGCCAAGUUUCAUAGGUGACAACAUUACAAGAUUGUAUACUAGUAUAAUGAAAAGAAGACUUAGGGAAAUAAAAAAGAAGUAAUCCUUGAUGUUGCCUAGCGGUGCCAAUCCUCCUCAAUGUCUUGAGGUCCUGAAGAACAAAGCUGUUAGGUUGCAUAGUAAACUAGAAAGAAUUGUCAUUUAUCAAAGACCCAAGGGACAAUAAGUUAAAUCUAAAGGUUGGAAUAAAUAACACAUUGUGUAGGAAGAUGUCAUCAUUUAGUUUUAUACUUCCUAUCCCUUCAACCUUUACCUUGGUGGAAUUAGGUAAUAAAACAUGAGAAUCAUGUAAACAUUUAAAGGAAUUAAAUUGUUCUUUCGAGCAACAUAUAUGUGAGGUUGCUCCUAAAUCGAUAAUCCAAUAAUGGUAAGAUUCAUUGAAAUCAAAACUAUUGUUCAUGCAUAUACCUGAAACAUUUAUGGCAAGAGUAUCAACAUUGUUCUCUGUUUUCAAUUGAUUUGUUAAGAAGCUAAUCAACUGUUGACAUUGAGUAAUGGACAAAGUAUUUGUGGCACCUUGACUAGGGGACUCAUCAUGAUCAGUUACCUGAUUUGCAGUUUGCUGAGGCUUGUUCUUGAAGUAACUUGGAGGAUAGCCAAUAAGUUUGUAACACUUGUCUUUUGUAUGACCUAACAAGUUGUAAUGAGCACAUUGAGGUCUCUCUUUCUUAGCAUUUCUACUUUUACCAUUAGUAGGGUUCUUGGUUAUAGAGUUGAUAGCAAAGGCCAUAGUGUUAGAGUUUAGACACAGUAUGUGGUUUACAACAAUUUCUCUUUGUGCUUCUUCUUGAAUAACAAGAGAAAAAACAUUACCAAUGGAGGGAAGAGGAUCAGAGAGGAGGAUUUGACCCCGGACUUGACAAAAUUGGCAUUUAGGCCCAUUAAAAAGGAUAUGACAUAUUCAGAUUCAUUGUAAUCUUGUAGAGUUUGUAACCCGCCACAUGUGCAUUGGAAGGUUGGUUUAUAGCCUGAGAGUUCUUUCCAAACCGAUUUUAAUUUGGUAUAAUAGGUACUAACAUCAUCAUUUCCUUGUUGUAAUGACAUUAGCUGCCUUCUCAAUUGGAAAAUUCUUGGGCCAUUCUUUCGGGAAAAUCGUGUUUCAAAUCGUCCCAAAUUUCCUUAGUCGUGUUUGCAAACAAGAUGCUGCUAAUGAUAUCUUUAGAAACAAAAUUGUAAAGCCAGGAAAUGACAAGAUUGUUACCACGAGUCCAUGCAGCAUAUGUAGGAUUGACUGUGGUUGGCAUCGGGAGGGAUCCAUCGAUGAAGGCCACCUUGUUCUUCACCGAAAGAGCUACCAUCAUUGCGCGGCUCUAUGUGGUGUAGUUCUUGUGGUUAAGAGGCUGGGAGGUAAGGAUGAGUCUUGGGCCAUCCGAAUGAUGUAGAAAUAGUGGGUGAGAGAGAUCUUAACUGGAAUCUUUAACUGGUGCUGCCAUGAAUCCAAACCGAAAAGCCGAUGGGAGAGUGAUUAGGAGAAGAUACAAAGGAGAAGAUCAUAGGACCAUUGAGGAAGAGGAUCGUAGAGAAUGUUGUUCAUUUGAUAUCAUAUUGAAGUUAUUAGCCUUGUAAUAACUUGGAAAGAAAAAAGCAAGAAGGAAGAAAGAAACAAAGGAUGCUAAGGAAACUCAGAAUCAAUAUUGAUUAACUUGCAGGAAAAAUUACAAAAACUAUAUCUCCUCUGGUUAUAAGCUAUACACAUGUAUAUAAAAGGAGAAACAAAAAGAGAUAACUAAAUGCAUCAAAACAAAAUUAUAACAGAAUAACAUAAGGUAGUUAGAAACAAAAUAGCAGAAGAUGCAGAAUAGCAUAGGUAACACUAGAUUCCAUGAUCCAAUAAUGACCCUUGGCGUAUUGAAUUCUUUAUGAAUUCAGAAUGACCCUCAGAUUUGGCGAAUUCUUUACGAACUCAGAAUGACUCCUGGUGUAUUGAAUUCUUUACAAAUUUAGAAUGAUCCUCGAAUUCGGUGAAUUCUUUAUGAAUUCAGAAUGACACUCAGUGUGUGUUUGAAUAAAAAAAUUUAACUGAGAAAAGUAAUUUAUUAGAAAAUUUGAAUUUCUGUAAUCUAGAAUUCAUUGUUUGGAUGUUUUUUUUUGUGAAGAAUUACAACAAAAUUUUAAAUAACUAAAAAUUUGGAAUUUUAAUUUCCUUAUAGAGAAAUUGAAAUUCUCUUGUUACCAUCUUCUCCAAGAAAUACCGUCUGGACUCGUGGAACAUCGAUCGGGUCUAGAGGUAGAAGAACAUGUAAAACUAACACACCAAUCAUAUCUUUUCUUUUUUUUCAUUCAUUUUUUUUCACCCUUAUAAUUUUAAUUUUUUUUAUUCAAACACAAAAAUUUGAAAAUAAAAUAAUUUUAAUUGAAUUAAAUUCCUUCGUCCAAACACAUUCUAAAAUUUAAAAUUUCUCAUGAUUUUAAAUUCCUCCGUUCCACAAUAUUGAAUUCUUCACAAAUUUAGAAUGAUCCUCGGAUUCGGAGAUUUCUCUAUGAAUUCAGAAUAUGACCCUAGCCCAAUGGCAAUUACGAUAUGAAUUUUGCAUUCAAAGUUCGAAGCCUCGAUGACCCUAAUUUGAAUUCAAGAUGAAAUCUUUAUUCCAUGAUCUUGAAUUCUCUAUGAAUUCAGAAUGAUCCUCGGUGACCCUAGCCUAAUGGCGACUGCAAUGUGAAUUUUUAUUAAUAUUUUUGAAGUGGGAAUGAGUCUCGGUGACAGCUUAAUGACAGUUACGAUUAUGAUUUUUUUUUAAUUCAUAAUUUUUAAGCAGGAUUGAAGCCUCUCUGACCCUGAAUACGAUUGCAAGAUAAAGACUGAUGGAAUAUUCAGCCCAUAAUGAUCCUAAAUUCAUAUUUUGAUUCGUUGUGUUAAAUGAGGAUGGUUGGAACGAGUACAUAUGAACCCAAGCAUAACUGUGAUGGUCCUAAAUGCUAUUAUAAUUAUGGAAACAUGAAUCUAAGCAUGUGCCAUGACGCCUGACCCUGAAAGCAAUUUCGUAUUGUUAAAUUGGGACGAAAUGCAUUGUGCCUUAGUGAUUCUGAAUGCAACCUGUGCUUGGGUGUGCUUGAGUUUAUGAUGAUAAAAAAUACAAUAGUACAAUGCAUCUGAGGGUAGUCCUUUUGAUGGCCCUAAUGCAUGUAUGUGCCUUAGUGAUUCUGAAUGCAACCUUUGCUUGGGUGUGCUUGAGUUUUUGAUGAUGACAAAUACAAUAGUACAAUGAAUCUGAGUGUAGUCCUUUUGAUGGCCCUAAUGCAAGUAUGUUCCUUAGUGAUUUUUUAUGCACACAUGAAUCUAAGCAUGUGCCUUGAUGACUAACCCUUAAAGCCAUUCUAAAUGGGAUAGAAUUCACUGUGCCUUGGUGACUCUAAAUGCAAUUGUGACUGGAUCUUUUAUGAUGCUAAAUACAAUUCUACAAUGAAUCUAAGCACAAUCCUCAAUGGUUCUGAAAUGCAAUUACAAUAUGAAAGCAAACAUGAAUCUAAGCAUAUGCCUCGAAGGCUGGCCCUUAAAGUAUAUAAAACUGAGAUGCAUCAAUGGCUUGGGGAAAACCAGACUCGCAAAGUUGUUGUUCAAUGAUAAGACGAUGGAUGAACUUUUCCAAUAAAAGAUGUGGGUGUGUAUCUCUGAUUACUUUGAUAAGAGGCAGAUAAUUAUUAAAAUCAUCAGUUCUGCUUUGGCUUCAGCUCCAACUAGUGCUCUUGCUAACCAAGAAAAUGUUAACAGCUUAGAUAUUAAGCAGUUACAAAUUUAUCUUAGACACAAGCUUUCUGGUCAGAAGUAUUUACUAGAGAUGGAUGCUAUAUGGAAUGAUGACAGUGCAAAAUGGAUAGAGUUGAAAGAUUUAAUAAAAGUUGGUGGAAUGGGAAGCAAAAUCUUGGUGACAAUAAGAAGUAACUCAAUUGCUUCAAUGAUGGGCACUCUUCCCUCCUAUAUUUUAGUAUCAAAUGGGCAUUCACUUUAGGAAGUUCUCUGUUCUUAAAUUUUGAUUUAGAAAGGUGGGAAUUCGUAAGAGACCAUGAGAUAUGGAACUAGAAACAAAAAAAAAAAAAAUGAUGGCAUUUUACCUUCUCUUAAGUUGAGCUAUGAUCAAAUGCCAUCCUAUUUGAAGCACUAUUUUGCUUACUCUUCCCUUUUCCCUAAAGAUUUUGGCUUUGCUGGUGCUCAAAUUUCAAGUCUUUGGGCGGGACUUGGAUUGCUUCGAUCUCCAGUUGGAAGUCGACAGGUAGAGCAUAUUGCAGCACAAUAUAUAGAUGAGUUGCACACGAGAUCAUUUCUGGAGGAUUUUGAGGAUUUUGGCCACAUUUACUAUUUCAAACUACAUGAUCUUGCUCUGUAUGUUGCAAAAGAGGAUCUUCUAGUGGUAAACUUGCGUACUUGCAAUAUACCUGAGCAAGCAAGGCAUUUAUCAGUUGUUGAAAAUGAUUCACUUAACCAUGCUUUGUUCCCCAGGUCCAGAAGUGUGAGAACUAUACUAUUUCCCAUUGAUGGAAUGGGUGUCGGCAGUGAAGCUCUCUUGGAUGCAUGGAUAACAAGAUACAUAUACUUACGGCUUUUAGAGUUAGGUGAUUCCUCUUUUGAGACUCUACCUAAUUCAAUUGCUAAAUUGGAACUUUUGCGCUCUCAAACUUGAAAAUAAUCGCAGAAUAAAAAGGCUUUCUUAUUCUAUAUGCAAACUCCAAAAUUUGCUAUUUUUGUCACUCAGAGGAUAUGUGCAGCUUGAAACAUUGCCUAAAGGAUUAGGGAUGUUAAUCAGCCAUCAACACUUGCAUUUAACCACAAAGCAAUCUAUUCUGUCAGAGGAAGAUUUUGCAAGCUUGAGCAAUGUUCACACUUUAACUUUUGAGUAUUGUGACAAUUUGAAGGUUUCUCCCUAAACUGAAGAUUCUGUCUGUAAGACACUGCAAGAUGCUAAAUCUGUCGUUGAACUGUGAAAGUGCAAUCCAUAAAUUGAGGAUGAAAUUCCUGCAUCUUGAGCAUUGUCCAAGGCAACAGACAUUGCCUCAAUGGAUUCUAGGAGCCGCUGACACUCUGCAGACAUUGCUAAUCAUAAAUUCUCAUAGUCUUAAGAUGGUUCCCGAGUGGCUGACAACAAUGACUCAUCUUAAGAUGCUUCAUAUUGUUAACUGUUCUCUGCUGUUGUGUCUGCCAAGUGACAUGCAUCACCUCAUUGCCCUUUAAGGUUUGAGCAUAGAAAAUUUGAACCACAAUCUGGUAAUUACUGGUCCUUCAUUGCUCACAUCAAACACCUAUCCAUUGGAGAAACAAGAGAAGGGCACCACCUCCUUUUCCGAAUGCAGUCGCCGAUGCGGUUAGUAAAACUAAAAUGUUAGGCACAAAUAUGCAGUCAUGACAGAGGGCACUACACACGGAACCCUCCACCCUCAGCUUCUGGACGUUACUGUAAGCUAUCCACUACUAUGAUCCAAAUCAUUUUCCUUUGAGUUUGAAAUCUCACCCCACAACAUCUUCUGUUCUUAAUUUUGAGAAAAUAGACUAUGCACUGAUAGUAUAAAAUAUAUUCAUUCUAUCACAAGUUUCCGUGUAUGGUUAGUUUGUUAACUGCAUAACUCCUGGUCUUUCUGCUGUGUGCUUGAUUGCUUGCCUUUAAAUCUAGUUUGUGCUGCUUUGUUCAGCUAACAUCAUGUUCUUUUCCAACUAUGUACACAGAUUAAAUAUAGUUAUAUUUUUGAACUGCAUAUUUUGCAUUUGCCACCACAUAUUUAAAUAAGCAUUCCGUAGAAAACAAUCUAUUUAAAUUCCGCACAUACACGUGAAAUGUGACAUUGCCACCACAUAUUUUUAGACAUUAAAAAUCCUUUCGUCUACUCUUUUGACUUAUGUAACAUACUGUUAGAAUUAAUGUAUGUAAGAACUAAUAAAUAAAUAAAUAAUAAUUAAGAACUAAAUUGUAAUUGGGCAUAGGAGAAGUUUGUAGGAUUAAAUGUUAUUUGAUGGGAGUAAUGGUUAUAAAAGGGGUUAAUACCCACUAACCUGAAAUAAGGUCUCCUUUUAGAAAAGUGUUAUCUCUCAUCCAUAGUCACCCAUCACGAACCUAGAGAGACAAAAAAGUCUAAAAAAGUCAAAUCUUAUUUCUCUCCUCUUUCAGAAGGAAAUCAAAUACCUGAGAGAGAAAGUCUUCUUAUGGAGAAAGUACAAGUCUUCCUAUGGAGAAAAGUAUGCAUUAUUUGUUUAAUGUAUUGUUUCCUGUAAUUGAUAAUAUAGAAAAUCACUUAAGAAUUAUACAUAUACUUCUCUCAUUUCACCACUUACUAUACCCCUUUACCAGUUAUUUCAGCAUGCGAAAGGAUACACCGGUGCUGGAAGUGAAACUUGAUGUUGAUGAUAUGGCAAAGAGUCACAAAGCCUGAACUUUUGUUCUUGUGGAUUUUCCUUGAAGCACAGAUGAAGAAUAAAAUGUAUGAUUUUUAAAUUGUUGCAAUGGGAUGGUGGUGUUAUGUGGAUGUCCUCGGCAUGUUAGGUAAUUGGCUAGCUCUUCCCAAGCAGAAAUUUGAAGCUGUCUGUGUUAAAGCUUGAGUUCCACAUUAAUGUAUGCUAAGUUCAAAAUUGACCAAAUUUUGGUCUGUUUUGUUAAUGCUCGAGGAUGAUAAGAUAAAAGGCUGCAUUAUUAGAAACAAUGGUUUCAGAUAUUUUCAUUUUGUUGGCUGCUCAAUGACAAUGAUAAAGGGUUCACAUGCCAUUUGAAUUUCAAGGGCGAUAAUCUUUGAUAUCUGUUUUCUUUUUAGUCAGUUAAGUGAGUUCAUAAAAAAGAAUGUUGAAGUGAAACUUGAUUGAAUCACAGACGCACACAAACGAGUUCUUGUUUUUAUUCUGCGUCAAAAUUUGUGGUUAGUUAAUGACCUGCAUUAACAUGAAGCAUGCAAAGGCGGAAUUGAUUUAUUGGAUCCUCUGUUGAUAUUAUGGAUUAUCACUUCUUCACAAACAUUCAUUCUCGAUUUGGGAGUCAUGUAUUGCCAUCAUGCUAGCUAUGAAUCAUUAUGGCAAUUGCAUGCAUUACUACGAUAUGUUCUUACAUAUUUUGGGUCAUUCGAUUACUUUGUUAAAGAUCUAAAGGAUAGGUUUGAUUGUGUGAAAGAAAAAAGAAAUAUUUAAAUUAAAAUAGGUGUGAAAUUCGUAUUAUAUUUAAAAUUUUUCCCUUGAAUAGUAAUUUCUCUCCCACAAUACAACCACCCCUAAGUGUGAUAAAAAAAAAAGUUACAAGUAAUCUUUUAAAAACUUCCAUAAAAAAAAAUCUUUUAAAAACUAAAAUAAUAAUAUAUUUCUCUAUUGUGUUGAUGUCUUGAUUCUAUGUUGUGUAAGAUCAUCCAUGCAUUUUUCUACAUGUUUUAAAUGGAUUUCAUCGUUACACAAUUUUUUUUUUUUAUUUCUUUACAAUUUAAGUAACUCUUCUCUCCAACCCAACAACUUGAUUAUUUUUACUAAAUGGAUUCCACAAAAACCACACAUCCUUACAAUUCAUCAACACUAAUUAUUACUAUACUAUUAUUAUUAUUUGAUAAAAAUGUAAAAAAAAAAAGAAGUUUAGCAUCGGUGUUUACAUAAACACUUGAUGCUUGAUAAGUUCUUAACUAAAACGAGCUUGAUGAGUGGUUCUUGACAGACGCUGUUUCAUAUUAAGAACCUGGGAUGGAGAUGGCCUAAAUGUGAGAAUAUCACCUAUAAUAAUGCAAAAUAUUAACCAAGAAUUUCAUCAUGUGUAUACAAAAGGCUUUAUUAAAAAAAUGUUAUAUUUAUUUUAUUGAUUUCUACAUCUCAAUUAGCAAAUUCUCUCUCUCUGUAUAUGUACGUGUUUCUUCCUACAUUAUAAAACUCAAACACCACCCCCUUAUCCUUUAAGUCACAACGAAAAGGGAUAUUAUUUGAGUUGUAUGGGUGCAAGAAACUGGUGACUUUCUUAAAAUGAGAAGUAAUGCCAAUACACUCCUCCAUAAUUAUUGGUUAAAAUAUAUUAAAAAUUAUAAAAUCAGGAGAAAAAAUCAUUAAUUAAAUAAAAUAUAAAACCUAUUAAAUUUUUUAAUUUUUAAUAAUUUUUUUUAAAAAAACAUAUGUUAAAAAAAGAGUGUUAGAGAAUAAAACUCUAUCAUUUCUGUUCUUAAAGUGUCCGUUGAGAAAAAAAAGAAACAUAAACAUAUAUUUGCACUACUAUAGCUGCUAUAGCUGUGGUUGGGCCAUUGUUGGCCUUUUUUAAUUGUACUGAUGACAAAAAAAAAUGUCACACGAUUACAAGUUUACCCCUAAAAGAUUACAUAUUUCCGAGAACAUCCCUUAUCAAACAAAAGAACCUACGAAUCGCAUGAAAAGCGGCAUUGAGUGAGAGUGUUCCCUCUCCUCUCUUCUGCUCAAACAAUGUCGCAAACAACGCUGCACGCUUUCGUCGCCAAAAACCUUGGUUAGUGUUCCCUCUUCUUCUCUCUGCUUUAUGAUUCUUCUUUCUCGUUAUUAUAGAAUACAAAACUAAACAAAACCUUAGCCACGCUUAAGUGUUUCAGCUUCAAAACCCCGCCUCAUUUCUUUAGCUUAAAUUACAAAUUAAACACUAGGGGUUUUUCAAUAUCUGUUUCUAGUGACAUAAUUUUUUGUCCUUUUUCAAUGAAAUCCGUAGCUUUAUGAAUUAUGAUUGAAAGUUUCUUUUUUUUUUUCUGUUGUUUUUAGUGGUUUCUUAACCCCACCAUGUAUGUUGUUACUUGUGUUAUUGACGUGGCUAUUAAGGGGAUUUUGAGGCUUCAUUCUUUUGGGGAAAAUGAUAUUUUGAGUUUGGGUUGAUGAUAGAAUGUUCUGUGCGUUUGUGGUUUUGAAGCUGGCUCAUAUUGCCCACUAUCUAUUUGUUGAACAGUAAUGUUAUAUCUACACCAGGAUUUCUCUUGGUAAUUGAGAUGUUAAUGAACAUAAAACAUUAAGCAAACGAUAAACGAGGCAAACUAAUAAUUUACAUGUAAGUAACUGUGUGUAGAUAUAAUAUUACUACUUGUUUAAAUGAUCAUUGUGAGUGGUAAGCCAUAGCAAUUGUUCACUUCUGUUAUUAAUUGAAGCGCUCUUUCUCCAGUCUGGAAGGGCUUAUGACUUGUUAAUGGGCUUCUUGGUAUAGUUUGUCAAAAUAAGCUCUUUUUAUUUUAUUUCAAUAAUUUUCAUGGUCAAAUUUAUAAGUUAUCAUGUAAUAAGAGCUUAUUGAAUUAGUGCUUAACUAAAUUGUUUACCCAUAUACACCCUUUGUCCGUUGCAGUUGUUGAUAGUUUUUAUAUUUACAUCAUUUUCCACCAUGGUUAUCAGCAUUCUUUUUUGUGAAAGUAAACAAUCAAAGUGCUAUAAUGAAAAUGUUGGUCUUCAUUGACUGUAGGGAACAAGCUUCAUGUUGUUGAUGACUCUUUGAGGGGCACUCACCAAACUUAACAUUUGCCUUUUUGUUUUCUUGGAUGAUGGAACCAAUGUGGAUGUGCAUGUUUUAUCUGCAAGCUGCUUGUAGAAUAGUGUUAAGCCAUAAUGAUUGUAUCAUGAUUAGUUUGUUUCUAAGCUGGCUUUUCUAGAGUUGGCUCCAUGUUAAUAUUCAGAGCUUGAGUACUCGGUGUGUUAUCAUGGGUUUAUUUGGCUUGACUGCUUGAGACCAUGUUUUGUGUCAUUUUGCACUUUAAUUUUUUGAGGAGUGCUAGGAACAUACUCUCUAACUCACUCUUUGCUACUGGUUAGAAUUUAUUGGAAAUUACAAAAUCAGGAUUCAAGAGCAUCACACAUUUUUGUGGUUUUCAAUAAAUUCAAAACAAUAAGAGUGUGUUCCUCUAUUUUUUUUCUACCUGUUCUCAUACCUCUAUAUAUGUGGUGUUAAAUUAUUUUGGUGUUAUUGAAGGAUGUGGAAUGGCAGAAGGCAAGUGUCUCCCAUGUUCAGGUGUUUCUGGAAGAACUGCUGCUGUAUAUUCCUACUCUUCUCUAGGUCAUCGCAGAAUUCAUUCCCAUGUCCAAGUUAGAGGACUAAAGUGUGGCUUUAGGGGUGCAUCUUUUGUAUGUGAAGCAAAGAGGAACCCAGAUUUCUCAAGGCAAAACAAGCAUGGGUCCUCCAGAAGCAGAAAUCGGAAUAGUGAUGGGAGAGACAGCUUUGAGAGCUUUGACGACGAUAUGUUUUCUUUAAAAAAUGGACCACCUGUGUCUCUUUCAACCUCAGGAAAAUUCCAGGCCACUUCAGCCCCUGGUCCUAGGGAGAAGGAGAUUGUUGAGCUAUUUAGGAAGGUCCAGGCUCGGUUGCGUGAGAGGGCUGCCUCCAAAGAAGAAAAGAAAGUUGAAGCCUCCCGAGCACAAAGCAAAGAGAACAGUACUGUGGAUUCCCUUCUCAAACUACUGAAGAAACAUUCAGUUGAGCAAGUGAAGAGAAGUAGUGGAGGCAGAGGAAAAGAUUUUAGUUCAGACCAGUUGCAAGAAAGUAACCAAUACAAUGGAGGACGGAACUCUAAAAUUUCUGAUUUAGAUAGUUCUCCAAAGGAUGAGCCCCAAGAGGACAUUGUCUUCUCUUCCUCGGUAGCCAGGCCUCGGUCAAAUUUCCAAAGAAGGUCUCCCGUUCCUCGUUUAAAAUACCAGCAUGUCUCUAACGAUGAGAAUGAAAUGACUGUAGUGCCAGUAGGUAGUGAGGAUACAGAGAACAAUCAGGAUCAGAUAGAUUUGAAGCUUGAUGACGAAGCUGAAUCUGACUUUGAAUCGGAUGUUGAUUCAAAGGAUGAGUUUUUCUUCCCAAACAUAGGGAUGGCUGAAUUGUCUGAGGAUGAUGAUUCUGAGCAAACCUAUAAUGAUGAGAGUGUGGAGGAGCAGCCGGCAGCUCAACACAAGGAUUUGAGUGCACUGAAGCUGUCUGAAUUGAGGGCACUUGCAAAGACUCGUGGCCUGAAAGGAUUCUCAAAAAUGAAGAAGAGUGACCUCGUGGAGUUGCUAACUGAGAGCUGAUUCUGAUGGAAUGAUAUACGAGAAGAAAAAGGGACAAAACAACACAUGCCAUAGUAAAAUAGAUUUUUUUUUUCUUUUCUUGCUUUUGACUUGACAUUCUAUCCGAUGUUUCUUUGUGUUCUUUUUUUUUUGUCACACUCUAAUUUAAUUUUUCCAAGUACUUGAGGUUGAGAGUUUGUGGAACAUUAUACUAUUAGAGUAAUUAUGAUAUCUUUGCCUCGGAGAAUUUUUGAACUUGUAGUUAUAUUCCCGGGAUGAUAUCUUGUGGCAUUUGGUUAUUAUGUGAUCCAAUGACCUAUCUGGCUAGUGAGAGAUUACAUCAUUGUCGUAGUAUUUUGGUUAUCUCCUUUAUUCAUUUGUUUGUGAGAUUUUUUAUGGUCAUUCAUAUAAUGCAUGUGCAAGCAUAAAGUCGGAAGAAAUAUCCAUUAUGGUUUUAGGUUAAGAAUGUGCACCUGAAACCUUCUUAUGAACUUUGCUCAUGAUGGCUCGAAAACAAAGUGUCUUAGCCCAUGUUAGUUAAUUUCUCAAUGAUUUUGUUCGCAGCAGCAGGCACAUGGUUUGAGCCUUUGAGGCAUCAGGCAUGAUUACCAAAUACCAAAAGCCCUAAGGCAUCGACUUUGCUUAAAUGGCCGUUUGGAAUCUUAGUUACACGUGGAAACAAACAAGCCAUUAAUCUAUUGUCGUUUUGGACCUUAUUUCUUGAAGUUUUUAGUGAAAGAAUUAUGCUUUCUUUUGCUUAGCUUGCAGGAUGGGUUAUGAUUGAUCCCUUUUUUCAUCGCCUAAUGGUAGUUGUUAAUUUUGUUAGAAUGUUUGUGGGAGUGAUUUAAAUUCAAGGCAUGACAGUAUAGUUCUCACACUUCUGGACCUGGGGAACAAAGCAUGGUUAAGUGAAUCAUUUUCAACAACUGAUAAAUGCCUUGCUUGCUCAGGUAUAUUGCAAGUACGCAAGUUUACCACUAGAAGAUCCUCUUUUGCAACAUACAGAGCAAGAUCAUGCACCAAAUCAUGUAGUUUGAAAUAGUAAAUGUGGCCAAAGUCCUCAAAAUCCUCCAGAAAUGAUCUCGAGUGUAACUCAUCUAUAUAUUGUGCUGCAAUAUGCUCUACCUGUCGACUUCCAACUGGAGAUCGAAGCAAUCCAAGUCCCGCCCAAAGACUUGAAAUUUGAGCACCAGCAAAGCCAAAAUCUGUAGGGAAAAGGGAAGAGUAAGCAAAACAGUGCUUCAAAUAGGAUGGCAUUUGAUCAUAGCUCAACUUAAGAGAAGGUAAAAUGUCAUCAUUUUUAUUUUUUUUUGUUUCUAGUUCCAUAUCUCAUGGUCUCGUACGAAUUCCCACCUUUCUAAAUCAAAAUUUAAGAACAGAGAACUUCCUAAAGUGAAUGCCCAUUUGAUACUAAAACAUAGGAGGGAACAGUGCCCAUCAUUGAAGCAAUUGAGCUACUUCUUGUUGUCACCAAGAUUUUGCUUCCCAUUCCACCAACUUUUAUUAAAUCUUUCAACUCUAUCCAUUUUGCACUGUCAUCAUUCCAUAUAGCAUCCAUCUCUAGUAAAUACUUCUGACCAGAAAGCUUGUGUCUAAGAUAAAUUUGUAACUGCUUAAUAUCUAAGCUGUUAACAUUUUCUUGGUUAGCAAGAGCACUAGUUGGAGCUGAAGCCAAAGCAGAACUGAUGAUUUUAAUAAUUAUCUGCCUCUUAUCAAAGUAAUCAGAGAUACACACCCACAUCUUUUAUUGGAAAAGUUCAUCCAUCCUCUUAUCAUUGAACAACAACUUUGCAAGUCUGGUCUUCCCCAAGCCAUUGAUGCAUCUCAGUUUAAUAUACUUUAAGGGCCAGCCUUCGAGGCAUAUGCUUAGAUUCAUGUUUGCUUUCAUAUUGUAAUUGCAUUUUAGAACCAUUGAGGAUUGUGCUUAGAUUCAUUGUAGAAUUGUAUUUAGCAUCAUAAAAGAUCCAGUCACAAUUGCAUUUAGAGUCACCAAGGCACAGUGAAUUCUAUCCCAUUUAGAAUGGCUUUAAGGGUUAGUCAUCAAGGCACAUGCUUAGAUUCAUGUGUGCAUAAAAAAUCCUCUAACACGACCAUCGGGCAUGAUCUGCGACUAGACUGAAAAUAUUAAAAACCAGAACCUAAACGAAAACAUUACAAACACAUUCUGCAGAACACCAUACCAUUUGACAACGAAGCAAAUUUCAAUUUCAAUUCUAAUCUCUUUCCCUCUUCAUAAAAUCCAGAUAUUCUCACAAAUGAAAUUUCUCCACCAAAUAAUAAACAAGGGUAAUAGCAAGCACACCGCUUUCUAUUUUCCUUUUAUUAAGCAGGAAUCGCGCAAAUUAAAAGUAGGAAAACUUUACAACAAAUAUAAACGACUACCAUUGACAAUUAUCAGGAAGAAUAAAAUUACAAUAAAAAAAGAAAAAAAAAAGGGUGAGAGAGUAAAGGAAGGGAAGAAGAACCUUCACGGCGAGGGAAACGGAGUAUCCGACCUUGUGGUGAAAGUAGCGAAACCAUGUUGGUAGCGAAACCAUUGUAGGGUGCAGCAGACACUGUUGUGUUUGUGUGUGUGAAGCAAUACCCACCCUCUCCCCCCUUUUCUCCUUUAUAAUCUAUGUUGAGAAUAGAGAAUAAUAUGAUGUUUUUAUAUAUACUUUUUUAUCAUUUUAUCUCUAAAAUUGCCUUUUUAAUUUUUUAUAUUCUUAUAACUAUUCCCUUUAAUCAACCCACAAAUUUAUAGAGGCACGGAAUUGUAGUAUUUUUAUGUUUUGGGAAAUAUGCUAUUUUGGUUGCAUGGUGUACAUAGUAUAUUUUUUGUGGCAUUUGAUAAUAUGUUAACAUAAAGUAAACAUAGCACAUGAGCUUUAUUAUGUAUUUGAAAUAAAAAAUGAAACACAAAGGUUCUCUUGAUACAAAAAUUUAUAGAGUUGACAAUGAUUUUAACUUGGCUUGGAACGUCCAAGUUGUCCUGUCCUACCACCAUAUAGUAUUUAACUAACUUGUUAGUGUUAUUCCUUUUUCUUGAGAAAUUCAUAUGAACUUAAUUUAUCAUUUUAUGUGGACUAAAUCAUUACAUAUUAAUUAUUAUGUUACAUUCAGUUAUUUCUGAUCUUUGUAGGACCAAGUAUUUUUAUGCUAGUAGUAUUAUUUUAAUAUAUUGUGAGGAAGCUACAAGCUAACAAAUCACUUAUACAUGAUAAUUAACUUGUUCAGUUGUUUGGGUUCCACAAUGAGUUCAUGUUCUAUUUCUCGAUGAUUGAAUUCUGUCUUUCCCUGUGGUCCUACUUGAUGAUGCAACAGAUGGGACAUGAGUAUCAUCAUCAGCUCACCGCAACAUGAAUCAACAUCACAAACUAAAACUAAAAGUAGAAGAUGCCGAUAGCAAUACCACAGUAGCAGACCACAAAGGAGGCAGCAUUAGGAAAUGGACAAAAUAGAAUAACAGAAUAUCUUCUAGAUACUACUAACAAAGAUUUGUUCUUGAUACAAAAAUCAUUGUCAAUUUUAACUUAUACAAAAAUUUUAUUUUAUUUUAUUUUCUGUUUCUAUAAAUAUUUAUUUAAAAAAUUAUCCAAACUAAGCACUAAGAAGAUUUAAUUUUAAAGGUAGAGCAAUCUGUCUCUAAGAAACUACAGCUAAUUGAUAUACGAGGAACAGUGUCCCUAACAUUCAUCUUCAUACAUUCGAUCUCCACUUUGGCUAAUUGAUAUACAAAAUUAGGAAGUAGUUCCACACUUGCAACAUAAGUCAAUAGCGCCUUAUUCCGAAUCCUAAAUUAAGUCCAAGUUUGCAUGUUUCUUUUACUGUUACAUGUUUUAGAUCAAGUCCUUGUUCUUUUUCUUUUCCCUCGUUCAUAUGUUGUUAUGUUUGGCUUCUUCAUUUAAUUGUUGGUUUCAUGAAUUCGUGUAUGUAUGCAGCCCAUAGGUUUAUUUUUUGAAUAAAAUACAUAUAUAUAUUGUGACCACAUGUUUACCUUUGUAUUAUGAGUCAAAAGGCAGUGUUUCUUUCUUAUUUUAGGAUUAGAAUAUUAAAAUAUGUUGUUUUGGUAGUUAAAAAGAAAGUUUAACUUUUUAUAAGAUAAAGAAAUAAUGAUAACUCUAGGAUACAAGAGGCACGAAAGGUUUUUUUUAUUCAUUAAGUUUAUUUUUGCUUUUGCUAUUUUAUCUUUUAAGUUAGAAAUAUUAAAAUAAUGAUAAGAAAAUGUAAGGUUGUGUCCUUUGCAAUAUGUGCUUCUUUGUAUAGGUUAGUUUAGUUUUGAUUUUCUUUCUUAAAAAAAAAAAACAAGAAUACAAGGUCAUGAUUUAGUUUCACGGACAUGUUUUUUUUUUUUUUCAUUUUCCUUUUGUUAGAAAGUGAUGAAUAAUUUUCCUUGUAGUAUAAAAGUUCUGAUUUUACUUUUUUUCUUAAUUCAUAUUGUUUGUGUUUCCAAAUAAAAAUAACGUUUUUUUUUAAUUUAUGCAAUGGUUUGUGAUAUUAAUUGAGUAGCAAUUCUACCUUUUACUUAAAUCAUAAAAGUUCAUAAAAUAACCAUUUUUUAUCUAAGCUUUUGGUACAGAGUUAUUAUUUUAACAAAAUAAAUAAUUUUAUUUGAGUAAGCAACAAUGUUACCUGAUUUGGAAAAUUUAAAUAAUUUGCUAGCUUAAAUCUUUGUGCAAAGAUCAUUUCUCUCAUAUAAAAAAAGAUAAAAAUGACAGUAAAAAAACUAAAAUAUUUUCUUUUGGGGUAAAAUAAAUAUUUGUGAGAUUGUUUAGAUUUUGUGUAAUUAUUUAUAGGUAUCAUUUUCUUAACAGGGUUGUAGGGUGUUAAAAUCUUCUUUAUGCGUAAGUGACUCCCGAACGGAUCUUUAAUUUCAAAGACCAUUUCUUAAAAGGGUUUUCCAAUAUUUUCUCUCAAGAUAAAAAAUAUUGGUGGUAAUUCCAUUUUAAAUAUUUUUGCAUCGCUCCCGUGUUACCUCAUUACAACAACCCACACAAUAUGGGACUAGUUACAAGAUCCAUAAACUAGCCACAAUAGAUAACAAACCAUCACCAUACAUAACAUAUAAAUAAUGAGUAUUUUAUAAUCUUCACUCCUUGGUUUGAGUAAGAAAAACUUCUACAUUAAAUUAGUUUGUAUAGAAGGACUGGUACGUAACUAACCCAAAUUCCAUGUGUGUGCUCACAUUAAGGUUCACGAUAGUGGGUCAAUGGAAGGACAAAUAUGUCACUUCUUUUUAAUUUGAGGACUAAAAAUUAAUGUUUUUGAUCUUUCAAUGAUCAAUUUGUUACUACUUGACACUUCUAGGUACGAAAAUGGAUAUUUAUUCUUUUUUCCCUUAAACAGUUAGGCCCAACAAUUUUGGAUCGAAUGAUUAAGAUUGUUUGGUGAAAUUGACUAUGCUAGUGCUACAUACCCUAGCAUACUAAUUACAACAACAUCACACAACACAAGUAACAUAGAUUAUAAGAAGAAUAAGAAGAAGAAACAUUCAUGUUAUUCUAUAGUCACUGAAACAAAAUUGUGUUGAACGACAAGGUAGAACAAUGACCCUUUUUUGCAUUUUGACCUUCGAUUUUGAAACUCUUCAAUGUUUCAAGUUUAUUUAUUUAUUUUAAUUGAACAAACAAUUUGUUCAUAUUCAUGAAAUGGUUUAGUCUUAAUUCCAUGUUGAAGGCUAGGAAUUGCAUGAAUUGAAAUAAUUUAACUGAUGGAUGGGGUUAUGGUUUCGUCAUUAAUUUUGGGUUUGUUGGAUAUUGAUUUUUGCUAUUGAAAUCUAAUUAUAUGCCAUUGUGGGGUAUAAGAAAGGAAGAAGAACAAUAACAACAUUUUAUUAAAUAGCAAUAAUGUAGGAAUUACAUAAAAGUAGAUCCAAUUACAUUAAACUCCAAUGAAAGAUAAGAUAAUUGCUCAGAACCAUAGGGGAAGAAUCCCUUGUUGGAGAAAAAAUGGGAGAUAAGUCCCUACACGUCCAAAGUUGUCACAAGAGAGUUCAAUUUAGAAUGUUUUUUAUCUAUUUAAUUGGUCUCUUUAAAAGCCUAAAAAUAAGGAAUAGGUCCAAGCCCAAUUAAAAACAGAAUUAAAAUAUAUUUAAACAUAAUUCUGACACACCCCACACCGUUGUGCCUAUGCCUCACAUUGGUGUGGGUACGCUCACAAGAGUAUGGAAGGCGCACUAGAAGAGAAAAUGCAUGUCAAGAUUGCCCACAACAUUGUGGCUCAAUCUGUAGAAAAUGUAUGUUAGUUGUUCGUCUACCGGCAAGUAUACCGAUGUGCACAAGUAGUAUAUAAAACGAUAAGAUACACUAAUAACUCGUGAAUAGGCUAUUUUCUUACAAUUGUUCAAUACACUAAUAACUCACGAAUAACAAUUAACAUUAGCAACACCCAUACUGUUGUGGGGACUUGUCACACCUGUGUGGUUAUUUCUUGGGCUAAAUUCAAUGCUUUUUAAGCUCUUUUUUGCUGCUUAAAUCUCUCCAAGCCCCUUCAAUCUUCCUUUAAUGUCAUUGAUAGUACUCCAAGUUCCUCUUCAAAUUAGUUUUUCGGCAAAUUCCUUCAAAAAAAAAAAUCAAGUGCAGAAAGAAAUAAAAUUGAAAUUUAAACUAUGAAAAUAUUUAUUUAAAACUUAACUAAAAAUCAACAUAGAAAAGUUCAAAAGAAUAAGAGACAUCACAUAAUUAUGCCAAAAUGGCUACCAAAUGUAGGACUAAAUGAUAAUUAUCAGCAAGCUCCCAUAGUGUGACGAGUGAUGUGGACAAAGUCUAGAAGGAAUAGACUACUUGACAUGACUUUCUUUGGAUCAAAUAGCCUAUUGCGUAAAUUUCUUUGGAUCAAUUUUGAGUCAAAAUCAAGACCCAAAAAAUCAUUAAAAAAAAUAGACAAAACACAUGUAUGAUUUAGGUCUUAAUUUAGAUCCAGAUGCUGAUCCAAAAAAAUUAAGGUAAUAGACUAUUUGACAUGACUUUCUAGCUAUUCUUUCACACAAAAUUUGUAUAGACUGUAUUACAUGCAUGUCAUUUGUCUUUUCUCCUCUACAAAAUUUUGUCAAACGGAAUCUCAGCCCAAAGAUCAAACCAGAAGAAAUUGAAAUAAUAGACAUGCUAAUGAGGUGAUAAUUGUCACUAACUUUGGUUUUCCUCAUGUCGUCUCGCUAAGAAUGAGCAUGAAGACCAAGGUUUGAGGGUUUUUAUAGGGAAAAAGAGGAAUAUUCUUGAAGAGAAAACGAGGGAAGGUCAAAGAGAUGGCAAAAUGUGGUCCACCUUUGAUUUUAGUUUUUUUCUUUCAAUUUAAAAAAAUAAUACAUUUAUUAUUCAAAUUCUAAGAACAAUAAAUUAAUUAUUAGAUCAUACUUGAGUUGUCAAAAUUAAAAAAAAAUGUGCAUGAUUUUAAAUGUAAUUAAUGUUUUUGAAUCCAUAAGAAUCAAACUCAAGUAAUAGUUGGUUUAGAAUAACUCAUGAAUAUUGGUUUAACAACUAAGUUGCACCUCCUUAGUUAAUAUUUCAAAUUUUUAUAUAAAACAUUAUGCAAUUUUCUAAUAUAUCUCUUGUCUUUCAUAUUCAAUAGAUUAUGUCUCUUCUAUAAUUUUUUUUUAUUUUCUCGCUCCAAAAUAAAUGGUUAAGGAUUUAAAGAAUGGUUAAUGCUUCAUCAAUAUUGUAAAAUGAUAAUCUAAUGAUUUUUUUUGUUGAAAUGUAAAACAAAACGGACCAACGGGAGCUGAAAACAUUUAUCUUCUUAUUUAAUAGGUCAUUAAGAGCAUUUAUCUUCCUAUAUAUUAAGAGCAUUUAAUACUCAUUAAGAACAUUUAUAACAAUUUUAAAACCCAACUCAACUUGGUCAAUCGAACAGGUUAGACAAGGAAUCAAACAUAUUGUUAAAGCAUAACCCUUUUAUGAUUUUCAUGUUUUAAUGAAACAAACUUUAAAGAAAUAAAUUUUAUGUCCUUUAGACUUUUGCUACUAAUAUUUUGGCUUGAAGUGCUUUCAAAAAAUAAGACUUAUCAAGAAGCAAGAAGAAAAGUUGUGAAGCAUUAGCCUAUGUUAGUUAUUAUUCAUGAGUUAGUUUGGUAUUGAAUAUUUGCAAAGAAAUAGCAUUGUGCCUCCUAUUUAUGAUUCUUUUUGUAGGAAUUGUACAAAUUUUCUUUAUUAUGUGAUUUUAUAGGUUAGGAACUCCAAUUUUGUGACCUAAUGUUGAAUCCAACUCAUUUUCAGGCCAAAGAAGAGAAGGUUAAAGCAGCUGAUGACUCGUUUAGCGAAGCAUAUCCGCUCAGCGAGAUGCAUCCAUUUAGUGAGACAUCUUGCCCGCUUAGCGGAUGGGAAACCCUAGAAGAGGAGAAGUCAGAGAUCUGUGCGCUCAGCACGCAACCAGCCCGCCCAACGAGAAUGUUGUUUCUUCUCGCGCUUAGCGCGCCCACUCUCGUUAAGCGAAAAUUCACUAACUCUCGCUUAGCGAGCCAUGCUCGCUAUGCGAGCCUUCAGAAGUUUAAUAGUCCAAGAGCCUUUAAAACAUUGAGAUUGACGGAGUUUUGAAAAAGGGAGACGAGUUUAGAGCAACAAAGAGAUCUUAGUUCAAGAAAAGAGAGAGAUUUAGGGUUUAGAGGCUGGAGGAGACAUCCUCCACCAUCUUCUUCCAAUUUGUUUCACCAAAGAUAGUUUCUUUCUUAGUUUUGAAGCUUUGCUUGUAAUGGAAUGUUAAGCUUCUUUGUUGGGGAGUUCUUCUGAACAAUCUUGAUGUAAUAUUCUUGCUAUCUAUUUAAUGUUAUUUUUUUAUAUUCAUUGUUUCUAUUUAUACUUAUUUUACAUGCUUGUGGCUUGAUCACCCAUUUGUAUGUGUAGUUAGGUUUUUUAGUUUUGGUAAAUGCUUUAAAACCUUAGAACUUGAUAGUGCAAGCUAGAAAUCUGUAUGUCUAGGAAUGAAGUGCGAUGAUCUAGUCCAUUUUAUGUUGUAGGCUUAGUGCAACUCUUUUAGAGCAAGUUUGUUGAGGGAUUAAGGACGAAGUCUAAAGAGAGUUAGGCUCAUUCAUGUGAAGAAUUAUGGUUUGAGUAAUUUCUCAGCAUAAGAACACUAGAAUAACGUUAAAUAGAGAAAAACACAUUUUAGACAUCAAGAGAAAUUCAGUAGAAUACCCUCCAACGCUCUUAACUUGAUAGUUUUCACUUUCUAUAGCUUUAGAUAUUUAGUUUAUGUUCAAAUAGAAUUUCUAGUUCAGAACUCAACAUUUGCCUUAUUUUAAUCCAUAUGAGUGUUUACAUAUUGAAUGUACAUGGUCUAGGUAAAACAAAUUCUCUGAGGAUACAAUACUUGAUCUUGUCAUUUUAUACUACUUGUGCGAAUCAGUACACUUAUCGACCAGUGAACAACCUAUGACCUUGAUUCUUAAAUAUGAAGCAUAUCCAACAUCAGAAGCAUAAGGGCAAUUAGGAGUUCUAUGUCAAAGCCCAAAUAUCAAAAGUAGUACAUGACUAUAAGCAUGAUUAUGAAGGUAGUUUAAGUCAAGGGGUAGAUAUCAAAUGCUACACAUGACAAGGAUCAUAAAAAGAUGCAAUGUUAAAGGAAAUAAGUGAAGACAAACAUUUCUACACAGUCGAGAAGCACAGACCAAGAAUUAUGAAGAUCUAUGUCACGUAAUAGUUUACUGAUGCACAUGGCUUAGUGAAGCUUUCUUAAUCUAACGAGUCUAUUUGCAAAAGAAAGGCAACCAUGAAGGUGAAAUGUAGUCUCUCACAAUCUAUAACAAUCAAGAAAAGAUCAACACCAUUCUGCAAAAGACUUACUUUUCUAAAGAAGUGGCAAGCCUCACCAUGACUAUGCUGGAAAAAAGAGAAGUCAUGAGUUAUUGAGCAACAACAUGCACCAACAAACAUGUUUCAAAAUUCAAAGUUUUGAGCAAACUAUUACAACGAAAAGAAGGAGGAAGAACAAGUUGUGUGUUGGAGACAACUCACAAAGGAUAUCCUUGGCCUAUGAGACAAGGUGCAAUGGUAAUCUUCAAAGUGCCUAUAUAAGAAGGUUGAACCUAUAUAAGGAGAUUGAAAUACAACUAGAGUUCUUUGUUAGGAAGGAAAAUAGUAUAGAGAUGACAUAGAUCAAAACUCAUAUUGUAAAUAUAUAUCUUCAGCUUUUGAUACUAGGCUUCCUUAGCCCAAACUUUCUUGAUUUGGAGCCAAAUCUAUCUAGCCAUAAAGAGUUUGUAAACAUCUUCUCAAAGGGAGCUUACUGGUGGGUUUUUCCUGUGAGAUGUAUUAGGUACCUGUGCACAUAGAACCCAUUUGGAUUUGCCCUUGCUUAUGAUCACAAAGCUUAAAGCUAGUGCCUUCAUUAAGUUUUUUAGGAAUCCUGACUCAGGGGAGGUAUCUAAGGCUCUUUCUACCUAGGGAAUUAGGAUUACAAAAAAUUAUUGACUGAUUUUUACAUUAAAGCAUGAAUGAGGUAUGUAUGACAUGUUAAUGCAUGAAGAUACUAAAGAAUAUGUGAAAUUGACCCAUGCAAUAACUUCUACCAUUCGUGUAACAUCCUUUUAAUUGUGUUUUCUUGUUUUAAAACCACAUAAAAAGUAUAUACUUUCUUGCUUUAUCACUUGAUAUGUUUGUUACUUCACAAAUCUUCCUUGAAGUUUGUGUUUUUAGUGUUUUCUUGUAUUGUUUUUAAGCCUAAGUUAAUAGUUUGUUGCAUUACUUAUAUUGUACGAGUCUCUUGGGAAACAAUAUAUGGACUGAUCCAUGACAUUACUUGCCAAAAUAUCCCUGACAAAUAACAAGAAACUUAACCCAUUAAGCACCAAAACCAAAUUCAAAAAUCCAAAUCUAUUAUUUCAACAUUAAGGGCUUCAUUUGAACUUUUCAAAACUACUAUCACAACUCUAGAUCUAUUAUUCAAUUGCAUAAAAGAAGACAAAAAAUGCUUAGAUCUAAAAUGCACCAACCUUAUACACUUUGAUCUAAAAUGGCAAUGAAGAUCUUCUUGGGGUACUUCUUCUUCCUAUCCUCAAAUGCACCAUCCUAAUUCCUCUCUUAAGUACCACAUUGAUAAUACAUUGCCUCUUUUGCCCUACAAUUCCAAUACGCUCAAUCUUAAGCACAUUAUUCGCCCGCGUCUAGUCCAACCUUAUUCUAACUAAAAUGACAACACUGUUGACAUCGUCACUACUACUGACGACCUCAAAGUCGUUGUCAAUGAUCUAAACUUAUUUCAUCUUACUUUAUGCCAUUAAGGUUUAUGCUAUGUUGUUCUGCAUUGUGUUUCUUAUUUGUAUGUGUGAGAAUACAUGGUGAGGACUCAAGGGUGGGGAUGGGAGGGACAAGUUCGAGUAGUGAAUGGUUAGUAGGUUUGGGUUUCAAGAAUGAAAGAAAUAAUGUGUUAUGAGAUUGAAAGGUGGAGGAGGGAACAAUGUGUUUUGAGGAAAUGAUGCUUAAAUGGGUUUUUUUUUUAUUUGAUCAUUGCAAUUUGUGGCUGCUAUAAGGUUCCAUAAAUUGUUAAUCCUUUCAAGAAUACAUUAUUCAUGCAAUUUUUAAUCAAAAAAAUGUAAUAAAACAAAUGUCAUGUAAUUACUUAGCAUCCAAAAUAAAAGAAAAUGACUACAACACCAAAUGAAAUAAAAAGUUUGAGGACUAAGACUUGUCGCCGAAAAGUUCAAGACAGAAAUAAUAAAUUUUAAAAAAAUUAAGGAUGAAAAAACAUACUUUAUCCUAUUUUUAAUUUCUAGGAAUAUUUUUGAAUUUUUUAAUUUAAAACAAAAUAUUAAAUGAAUAGGAAUUAGAAAGAUAAAGAAACUUGUGUAGUAUGAAUUCUGAACAAAAAUAUUUUUUUAUAACCUUUUAACAAACAUCAAAAUAUAUAUUUUGAUCUCCGGAUUUCAGAAAUCAAUAAUAUUUCGUGAAACAAGUACUAUGGUUCAAAAUAAAUAGUUAUCAAAGUUAGUUUUUUUUUUCUUUUCCCUAAAGAGUUAGGCUCUAUUGGACCGUACGAUUAAGAUCGUUCGGUGAAAUUGAUCACGCUGGUGCCGCAUACCCUAGCGUUCCUGUUAUUCUAUUGUGGCUGAAACAAAACAGUGUUGAACGGCGAGGUAGAACGACGACCCCCUUCUGCGUUUUGACCUUCAAUCUCGUAAGUUCUUCUAUUUAUUAAUUUAUUUUCAAUUGAACACCGUGUGUUCAGAUACGUGAAAAGAUUUUAGUGUUGAUUCCAUGUUGAAGGUUAGGCACUGCGUGAAUGGAAAUAAUCUAAUUGAUGGAUGAGGUUCUGUGGUUUUUGAGUUUGUUGGAUAUUGAUUUUCGCCGUUGAAAUCUAAUUCUAUGCCCUUGUGAGGUGUAUUGGAUUGCAUGAUUGAUUUUUGUUCAUCUAAAGUUUCAAACUUUACUGUUGAAGUUGAGUUAAUGAUUAAGCUACUAACUUGUUAUCUCUUUGAUCAGUGGAAAAUUUGUUACAUAAAUUGUUGUACUCAUUUGAUAUCAACUGUCAUGGAAUCAUGCUCUUAUGAGGUGUCAAACUUCUUGCUUUAACCUAAUCCACUUCUUCCAGUGCUCUGCAACGAAUUAGGUGCUUUUAAUCCAUUGACACCCUCAAACUAAUUAGGGAUCAGAAAUCAGUGUCUAUGUACUUGUCCUCCCUUUUGUUCAAAGGAUAGGUCAUGUCAUUUGUUUGUAUUUGUAAUAACUAAUAACUACUGCUGAAUGCGAUUUUAGAUUUUACUGCUAUGCUCAUAAUAAUAUAGUUAACCCAGGCAUGAUUUUUUUUGUGUGUGUGAUCGUUGUGCUGUUUUAUUUUUUUAUUCCUCUUCCAUCUGGCUUGCUAUUUUUUUCUUUCUUCCUAAGGUAUAAAAUAAAAGUUAUUAACUUUUAAUACUCCCUGGACCAUCUAAUGUCUGUUUUUACAAAUUUAUGAAGUUUUUGGUUACUCUCACUUUCUUUGCUAAAGUGGCUACUAUGCCAGCUGCUAUAGUGUUUUUAGUGGUGGCCACCACCCACCAAGCAAUGCAUUUGGCCUUUAGAUAUUUGGUCUGUAAAUGAACUAACUAACAUCCUUUUCUUAUUUAUGAUUGCAUAUCAAAAUGGUCCUUCUUGAGAACCUGUGACACCUUUCUCUCGUCAUUGAAGAGAUGAGUACCUUUUUAUUUUUUACUAAAAAGCUAGUAUUAACUGAUAUAAUUAUUCCAUUUAUAUCUAAGUUCUAAAAUCAGGAUAAUAGAUCAGAGGGUAGAAAUUAUCUAAAGGAUCAUUCAAGGUUUUAAAUAUCGUUCUGUUACACCAAAAACGAGUGCAAUGGUUUUUCCCAUCAGCGAUACCGUUACAGGAUGGUAUUAUGGAGUGAAAAGAGUUGCGGCCACAACACGGCUUCGGAAAACACUGUUUUGUUACUUUUUUCUGCCUCUUUAGAAUUGAAACCUUUAGUUGGUAGCUUCACCCGUCAUCAAGAUUCAUGAGCAUAGAACCCCACCGUUCACCUACCAGACCACCACCGCUUGCAUCUUCCCAAUCUCUGCUCAGUAGUGAUUAAUUUGACUUCUGUGCAUGGAGGGAAGGGGGUUUGACUGUGUGUGUGCUUGAGUUGGGUGUGCCCAUGAAGGGUCAAGGGUUGGGGGAUUAUUGUGAAAGCUUCUUUCUUUCAAUGAUGUAUGGUCUAUAACAAUAUUUAGUCUCAAAUCUGUUCAGCAGUUCUGUUUUCUCUUCUUGCGUCUGUUUGUGCUAGUUAAAAAAUUGUGCCCCCUUGUCUUUUUUUAUUCACCAAGUUGGUUAUUGGUAGAUUUACUUUCCAAAGUUCAUUCCUUGAUGGAUAAUUUGGUGACAACUGAAAUGUAAUUGCUGAAUGCAUAAACUUGUUAGUAGACAAUUUUCAUUAUCAGGGGUUAAUUUGAUUAAUUACUGAGAAAUAAAUGAACUCUAUCUGUCUGCGGUUCAUCUUAUAUAGAGUUUUACAAGAAAGUAUAGGCAAAACACGUGAAGUUUAGCAUUGUUUUGGAUUUGCUUUCAUAUUAUUUGUUGAUGUUAUUGCAUCUUACUCUAUAUCUCUUCAUAUAAUGGAUAGCACUGUAAAAAAUGGUUUAUACUGAAUUAAUAGAAAGAAAAGGCUAAUAAUAUUUGAAAUGUUUUCCUAGUAUACUUGUGUUUAUUCUUAUUACACUUCUCUUUCUUUACCUUGAGGAUGCUUUAUUUUCAUUUGUGUAGAAUCAUGGCCAAAGCUGAAGGUGGCAAGGAACCAAUAAAUGAACAAGCAGUAGCAAAUAUGUAUGCUGCAAUGAGGUCUGAGCUCAACCAAAUUUACUCCAAAAUAACUGAACUGGAGAUGGAAGUUAGUGAGCACACAUUGGUUACCAAUGCCAUUCAACCACUUGACCAAUCUAGACGAUGCUAUCGUAUGAUUGGAGGGGUGCUUGUGGAGAGAACCAUCAAAGAGGUCUUGCCUGCUGUGCAGCGAAAUAAAGAAGGACUCGAAGAGGUUGUGGCAAGGCUUAACGAGGCGUUGGAAAAGAAGAAAAAGGAAAUUUCUGAGUUUGAGGCUAAAUAUAAAAUCAGGAUAAGGAAGGCUGAUGCUGAGGUGAAGGAUGAAUCUGGUAGGAAGGAAGGGUCUGCUCAGGGGGUUCUUGUGGGUCCUGCAGGUGGAAGUGAAUGAUUUGUCUAUUUUUAUUUUGUUUCCUCAAACUAGUAGCCAGAACUUGUCUUACAAUUGGGUGCAUGCAGUUUGAUGAUUUGUUUUAUAUGUAGACUAAGUGCGUGUCUGAAUUAGAUUCAUGUUCCGUCCAUAUAGAAGCAAGUAAAUGUAACUUCUGCAUCAUUUUGACGUGGUUUUGCUGCUUGAACGUGGAUCCAAGACGUGUUUCCAACCACGCUCAUUAGCAAGUAUACCUUGAUAUGACCUUAAGUUUAAUUGCUUUGGGCUGAAAAAAACUUAUCUUCAUUGGUUUGUGUUUAUGUAGAUUUUUGUAUGCAAGACUAGAGCAUAUAAUCGUGUGAUCAAGCUAUUUUGUCUCUCUUAUGUAUCGAUAUGUUUCAUUUGGGGUAAAAUGCUUUUCCUAAGCACCUUAUGUUUAAUUUGGUUUUUGAAACAAUGCAGAAAGAAGUAAUGGAAGAAGGUUUAAGGCAUUUUUUCAAACUAAUUAUUGAAAAAUGUAAAGAGAAAUUAUUUUCUGGUUUGGGAUAGUUUUUGUUACAAGGCAAAAACUAUUAUAUUAUGGUGACAAAAAUAAUGUGGUGUUUGUUGCCCGACAAAAAAUUAUAGUCUAAACUACUGAAAACAUAUUUGUGAACCUAUUUUUAUCAUUGCAAACCAGCUUUAACACAUUUCAAUAUAUAGUAAAUAGUCAAUUUAAUCUUUGGAUUUAUAUUUAGUUGACAUCUUGAAAUUAAGAAAAAUUCAAAUAAAUUCCUUCAUCAUUUCAUUCAAGUCUCUAAAAUUAACUAGUUUUCUCAUUUUGGUCCAACUCUAGGGACUUGAGUGUUAAUAAU
rnacentral:lncRNA from 1 species